rnacentral:lncRNA from 1 species
AGCAUCACAUGUGAGUUGGUGGAGGUGAAGUUGAGUUUUACGCGUAUAAAGCAGCCUUUUCUGACCAGUGAUCCGAGCUGCUACAGUGCCUCGGAUCCACUAACCCAGAAACAGCCGAGGGUUCGGAUGAAUAGUGGAUCCGAGUGUGGAUUACUUGCUCUGUUUUUGGCCCAACUUCAACCGAUCUUUUAUUGAUGUUAGAGGCUGAACCAGCUCAUGCCUAAAACACGAAAGUUGUAGCCUUUUGAUUUAUCUUUCCAAUGCAUCAAGAAUCACCUCAUUUGGAUCUGUGUAGGCGGAGAUAUGACUGAAAUACCCUUGCCUGCUCCAUGCCUUGUUCCAGUUUCGACCAAUAGCAAUUGACUCUGUACUUCGGCUCUUUUGACCUGGACAACCUUCAAACUGGAUUUAGAUGUCUUCACCAAAGUUGUAGAUCUAUCUCUUAUCUUCAAAUGGGUUCAAGAAUCAUCCCAAUCCGAUCAUUGUAACUCAAGUUAUAGCCAAAAUACGAAAAUGUGUCAAAACUGUCAAAAUACACAAAAUCCAAGUAAAAAGUGAUAAAAACCUCAUUUAAUUGAACAAAAGCAUUUUAUACCAAUUAUAGCCAAAAUGAAUCAUUUUCUUCCAAUAAUAUACCCAAAGUGACUAAAAAUAAUAUAAAAUAUCAUACAAUUAUUACGUAAAUUAGUCACUUAUCAGUUUGGACCACAGCCAGAGAUAUUACCUCCAAAUGUGCUCAUGGGAUUUCAAACGUUAUCUCAUUAGUAGACACAUAGUAAUAUGUAGGAGAAGAACAACCCUAAAAUAAAUUUUGUGAUGCUAUCAAUGCAGGUUUUACACAGGAUGAUAAUUAAUUUAUUAAGGCAUAUUUAGUCUUAUCCUAGUAAUUUUAAACAACAAAAAAUUCAACGAGGUUACCUGUUUAGAUAAUUAACUAAAACCCCUAGACCAUUUUCUUACCUACUUUCCCUUUGUUUUGAUCUCUUGCGUUUGCUCCUAGAUUUUUCUUCUUCCCUUUUUUUAAUUAUUUAUUUUUGGAGUUGAAAUCAUAGUUAUCAAAUCCAACAUGAUGGUUCAAGCGGUCAACUCGAUGAACCAAUCACUUAAUUAGGUCGAGUUACUAGUUGGACCAGAUAAGAAAGUAAACCAUUGAAAAAUCAAUGACCGAUUGAUUCAACCAAUGAAAAUCGGAAACCUGAUCACUUUUUGCAUAACCCAGUAGUUUUCAUAAAAUUCGUAAUAUUGGGUAGUGAGCUUUUUUGUUUUCUCUUAACUUUUUUUUUUUUGGUAAAAUUAAGGGAUUGAAAACAUAGUUGUUAAACCUAACCCAGUUCAACAGAUCAACCUAAUGAAUUGGCCACUUCAAGGGGCCUGGUUGCUAAUUGGACCCUGUAAGGAAGCAACCAAUUGAAAAGUUAGCUGCCUAUCAGUUCAACUCGUAAAAAUUGGAACCCUAGCUGCUUUUUGUAUAACUCAUGAUUUUUCAAAAACUUCUCGAUAUUAACCUAGUGAGUUUCAAACAUAUGACGUUUAACUUGAUUAGUGUCCUAGAACUUAUAAAUGAAGUAGCAACCAUUGGACCAUAUGUCCUUUUAGUUUUAGUGGACUAUUUUAUGUAUUUUGUAGUAUCUUGUUGGUGUUUUAUUAGAUUGGUGAAUUUCAGACAUGCUAUCUUUAACUUAAUUAGUAUGCUAGAACUUACAACCUAAGUAGCAAGUGCUGGAUCACAAUGCCACCCUGUGUAUAAUGGACUCUAAUAGUUGCCUAUUCAAAGUUUCAAGCCAGUUCACCCAAAAUACUAAAACCACUAACCAGCUAAAUCGGUCUCCUUGUCGAUUGAUCGUCGAGUAGAGUUUAAUAACUAUGAGUGAUAAAAACUCUUAUUCAAUUACAAGAAGCAAAGCGAAAUAUAUUUAAUGUCUUUUCUAGCACUUUUUUUUUGAGUUGUCAUUUUGCACUUGUUUUCCUAUUUCCUAUUACAGAUAAGCAUCUAUCCUACUUUUGGUAUUUAAACAAAAAAAGAGUUUCACUUUUUGUUUUGUACUUGAUAUCCUGCUUUAAGAUAGGUUUAAAAAGGAGACUUCACGAAAACCAAUCACUUCUCCAAGUUUCCUUAGCCAGAAUAAUCUAACACCAAGUCUUUUGUGAUAGGUUCAAGUGAUCGGCUUCAAUUUCACUCAUAUCCGUAUAUAGUGUUUGUUUAAAGUCAGUCAGAAUCAAUUAAUGGGUUUCAUAAUCCCCUUCUAUGAGUUUCAUAAUUAACUACUAAAGAAUGAAAUUUGGCUUAUCUAUUGUUUUUUUUUAUUAUUAAGAAUCCAUUGCUAUAAAAUUACCAACACUCUAUGCAUUUUUUUAAUCAAAUUUAAUACUAUUCUCCAAUUUAUCAUACCAUCGUAACAGUGAUUCUAAAAUUCAAAUCAAAUGACUCCUUAGGAGAAUCUUCCUCUUUCUUUCGUGAAUAAGUGGAAGCUUUCUUAAAAAAACCAUUAGGAGAGAAAUUUUAGCCUUUGUUUUCUACUUCAAUAAGAGAAAUAAGGAAUUGGUUUAACAAAGUAGACAUAUGUGCAUAUGGAAACUCAACCAAACUAGAAAAUGUUUAUCAAAAUUCAAUUUUUCCAAUAUUAAAAAAGUAGAUUACUUGUUGCAAAUGUUGUUCUUUUUUUUUUUUUUGGGUGCAAUUUUAAGUUGGUUUAUGAGAAAGUGCUAAGAUUUAAGAGGAUAAUAGUUGGCCUUUACUUGGGGAAAUGUUACAUUGUGAUAGGGUGUUAAUUGUUAGUCAUUUUCUGAUUGAUUUCCCUCAUUAUUUGUGCCAAAUAUUUUGUUAAUUGUCGGAUUCUACUUAUAAUUGGCACUUGAACAUAAUUGCAGGGGUGGAGUACAAAAUUCUGAAAAGUGAAAGAUGAGAUGUGCAAAUAUGCAAAGAGUUUAAGCCGACUCCAAUUGGAGGACAAAAGUUUCCUAUUCUGGUAGCCGUGUGGUGCGUUGGCAGUAAGAAACCAAAAAGGAACAAGACUCUUUGUAAUUAGGCUCUGGAGAUUCGGAGAGGACAACUAGUUAGAGAGGUCCCCUUGAAAAAGGAAAAUUUUCUUUGUUAGGAAGACAGUUUUUAGUUUUUGUUUUCUUCGUUCCUUUUCAUUUUUCAUUAUUCCCGACUGGAGAAACAGUUUUUAUUCUUGAUUGUUAGAGAGAAACAGAUGCCUUUGAAAUCGAUUGAAUUGCGUGGAAAUUUUUUCAUGAGGUGUGGCUGAACUUUUCAUCUAGUCAAGGAUCAUCGUGACGACACGGUCCCAAAUAUCUGUUAGAUCGUAUUAGUUUUCAUGCGUUCCUUAAUUUGCUGAUAAUUGCAUGUUUUCUACUUGAAUUUCUAUGGGAUUAUUUUGUUAAUCGGAUGUCACGGGUCCGAUAUUCAAGGUGACCUGUUAAUGUCCUGCCAAUUUAAUCAAUUAAAUCCGUAAUUGUUUAAUCGAUUAAUAUAGUGGCAACUAGCGCUUAUACACACUAGGGGAACGUGCGAUCUGAUCUAAAUAACCCUCAUAGUGUGUUAUUGAUUAGGGUUAGGAUUUUCUAGUUCUUACUGCAAUUGGGGAAUUAACUCCUAUAGUCGUACCUAGGAGUGCUUUCUGGUUAGGGAUAAUUAAUGGUCGUACCUUUAUUAUCAAUAAACUAAGGAAAAGUUGGUCGCUAGAGCUUGUCGGCGAUUAUAACUAACCUGUUAAUAAAUUAAGUGAACCUUCCUUGCGUCAAUGAUCGGGUGAAUGGACUGUGUCUGAGAAGUUGUAUUCUUGACUAAAAUUUGUCUAUUAUUGAUUUAAUUCCUGUCUACGUUCGUAUUAGCUAAUUGUUUGUUUUUGGUUAAAUUGCUUAAUUGUUCUUAUUUUUAUUUCGAUAAAAAUCCCCCGUAUCCCAAACUUGAAAAGAAGUGAAGUUACCCCAGUUUCUGAAGAGAUGACCCUACUUGCCCUAACACAAAUUAGAGAUUUUUGUGAAUAAAUUCUGGUAUAUCGGAUUAAGCAAACUCUUUGGAACCAGGGUGAAUCAAGUAACCCAUUGCACAUCUCGAGUUCCUGCUCCAGUACUAGAAUUGAUACGAAACUACUUUGUUAGCACUUAAGAUAAUUAUUAUUAUUGCACAGGUUCGACACCUGUCACAUUGAAACCUGCCAAAAACUUUGUGUGCGGAGAACAUGUUUGAUGGAAUAUUCUAAGAUUCUAAAGCACAAAAAUUUGGAGAAGCAGAGAUGACUUGCCAACUAUAUUUUCAAACUCGAACCAACCAAAUCGGCUAGUCUAACCGGUUGAACUGAAAACCAGUCAAGCAUCUAGUCCAAGUUUCCUCGUAAUAUCGCCUAACAAAAUCCCGGUCAAAAGCUGUGUUUGACUGAAAACCAAUAAAAACUUUUUUUUUCCGUUCUUUCCUUUUGCCUUUUUUUUCCUCUCUUCUUCUUCAAGCAACUUGAGUACCAAGACACAGAUUUCUUCCUUCCAUUAGCAGGUCUCCAACCCAUCAAAAAUCACCCUUAAAUACAUUUCUUAAAUAAGAUCUUGUCAUAGAUCUGAUGUUAAAAAAAGAAUGGUAAAAAGACAAAAAGAAAAAGGGAGAAGGAUAAGAGAAGUUUGAAAAAAAAAGAUAAAAAAGUUUUAGAUUUUGCAACUUUCGAGCAAAAAAACCAACAAAGAUAAAACUAACAAAAAAAAAAGAAAAAAGAAAAAAGGAAAGAUGAAAGAUUGACUUUGAAUUGCGGAUAAGUUGGAUAGGAAGAAACUAGGAAAAGAAAAGAAUGAAUGAAACGGCACAAGCAAGUGAUGAGAGUUAAUGAAUGGAAAAAAAAAACUAAGAAAAUUAGUCUUGGGGGUUCAAAAUUUUAUCAAUUUUGUGGUUUGGCCCCUAAAAUGCUAUAAAACUGUUAGCACAACUAGAAAUAUUUUAUAAUUUAUUCUAUUGUCCUAAAUUCUAGCAUUACGUUUCAAAUAAGCCCUUCAAUUGAAUUCUACGACUGUUGAAUAUGCAUUAAAAAUUGUAUAGAUUGCUACUUGAUUAUACUACUUUAUUUGUAUUUUCUCGUAAGGUAUCUUAAAAACAUCAAACAUACACGAAUAUGCCUUUCUUUAUAUUAAUAUGUUUCUAGAAAUUUUACAUAAUAUAUUAAUUUUAAAAAUUAAACAUAUUUGUAAGAUCAUAAUGAUGUCAUCUGAUUCUUAUUAAUAGGCCGUGGUGUUAUAUUUUGUUUUAUCCUUUUUAAUCCUAUUCAAAAAUAUAAAGAGUGACAUUUAUAGGAAUUAGAGCUCCGAAUCCUAGGUCGCCUUGUCUUCCCUCUCAAUUUGGCCCCCUCAAUAGUAAGCUGCCACGUCACCAUCACCCACAUGCUUAUUUUUAUAAUCUUUGUUGAAGAAUUGGCUCGGCUGGUUUAUUAUCAUCCCAAGCCAAUCUUUUCAAUCAAAAUAGCAGAGGUAUUCUUAAAUUACCAAAUUUUUGCAACCAAAGCUUUUCCUAUUUUUUCAGGAGGGAUUCCUAUCCGGCUUGAGACUUCAGAAAUUCCGAAAAGAGGGUUGGACAGAUUCAGAUGUCUGAUGUCAAAUUAUUACUGGUAUUAAGUGGCAUUAAGUAUUGAACCAAUCUUUUAUGUUCUGUCUAUUCUAGUUCACAGUUGAUUACUACAUUUUCUCUGGGUUUCUACACAAUUUUGUAAUGCCUAGGAAAAAAAUGGAGGAAGAAGAGGAGAUAGAUGAGCCGUAGGUAGUCGCAAAUUUGACUAGUUGGGACUUGGGAACGAAAGCCAAGCCAAUAUCUGCGUCAUGUCUCACAUUUGACUAGUUGUCUGGGGCUCCACAAGGGCUGAGGAAAAUGGGGCCGACGAUCGGAACCGCCUAUAUCCAUCCUAUUCAUCAGUUCCUUGCAUGUAAAUGCACUGGUCCUUUCCUUUCAAAACUUGUUUUCUGCAUUUUUCUUUUGUUUGCUUCUUCAUCACCAAGAGUCACUCUCUGUCAUCCAUUUUUAUCACUAAGCGCAUUGUCCUUGUAAUUUGCACACAUAUCGAGUUUGUCUUUCUCACAAGUAUUAAUAAUUUCUGAUAACAUACUAAUCCUGAGGUCAGUCCCUAUUAAAAUCCACCAUCAGCUAAAGAUCCUUUUAGGCGAGCAUCAGCCGCAAGUAUAAGAGUCUUAGCCACAAAUGCCGAGUCACAACAUCUAAGCUAAGACUUUCUUUGCCUCCAACAUCUAGUGAACUGCAAAACAUCCCUUCUCUUUUCUUUUUGUCAUUUUAUCAAAUGCCGAACUGAAUAGAAGGCAGCAAAGUCAAGCAUAUAUCCCUGCUUGAUUUGGUGAAGCGGCCAAUGCAAACUCUUAGGAUGGUUCGAAGACUCGGUUGAGACGGUGACGACUCGGCCUCUACUCGGCCGAGUCGUCACCGUCUCAGCCUAGUCUGAGACGAGACCGCGACGAAACGAUACCGAGAUACGUGACUCACCGAGACGUCACCGUGAAGGGUUGAAACGAUCAAAUCACUCCGAAUCAUCCCGAGUCAACUCAAAUUUUUAUUAUUUUUAUAAAUUUUUUAAUUAUUUUUGUUUAUCAUAUUUUUUACAUUUUUUUAAAUAUUAAAUAUUUUAAAAAUUCGCGUCUGGCCAAGACCGUGAUCGAUAUGUCGAGACUGAUGUGGAACGGUCCAAGCCGCGACCGCAAUUGUGACCACGACUUUGAACGAUGGACCACCCGUCAAUGUGAUGUAAUUUUCUUUUCUUGUUGAAAGUCUAGAAGCGGUCCAUCUCUGUUCAAAUUUAAAGCUGGCAUUUUCAACUGUUGGUUAAAUAGAGUAACCAUUUAACUUCUGAUCCCUUCAAUUAUUCGAUAGUCCAAUCCCUCUUUGUUUCCAAAAUCCGCCUGUUUAUGCCAUGUUGGUGCUCUAUAUAUAUAACUGAUUAACUCUGCAGCAUAAUUUUCCAUUGAGUAGAUAGAUAGGAGCUAAAGAGAAGGAAACAUGGGAACAGUUGAUAUUUCCCCUAGCAAAAUUCAUAUUCUUGCUUUCCCUUUUCCUGCAAAAGGUCAUAUAAAUCCUAUGUUACACCUCUGCAACCGCCUGGCCACGAAAGAUUUCAGGGUUACACUGAUUACUACAACUUCUAUAUUCAAGUCUGCUAAAACCAAAGCCAUCGGCUCCAUCAAGAUUGAGUGUAUUCCAGAUGACUCCGAUGAACCCGUUGAAGAAGAUCUCAAAGGCUUUUUGGCAAGGUUGAGAGCUGCUGCUUCCAGAGGCUUGGAAGAACUGGUUGAGAAAUGUAGAAAGACUGAUCCGUAUCCUCCCAGAAUUGUGAUUUAUGACUCAACUAUGCCUUGGGUUCUGAACUUAGCUCAUCGGGUGGGAGUUCGCGGUGCUUCUUUCUUUACUCAAUCUUGUGCUGUUUGUGCUCUUUACUACCAUAUGGACCAGGGAACAAUACAGCUUCCUCUUGAUAAGGCUGUUACUGUAAAAUUGCCUUCAAUGCCAGCACUUGAAAGCAAUGAUCUUCCUGAUCUCCAGUACUUCCCUGAUCCAGAUAGUGUUGUCACGAGGCUCCUUCUUGAUCAGUUCUCGAACAUUGACAAAGUUGAUUUCAUUCUGUUCAACACUUUCGAAGAAUUGGAGGAUGAGGUAAGUUGGAAAUCCUAAUUAUAAUCCAGUGAACAUACAUUACUGAUGGAUUUUUUUGGGUGAUAAUUCAUGUAACUAUGUCAAACUAUGUGAUACUCUUGGAUGGGCAUAAGCAAAAUUUUAAUCAUGUGGAAAACUUUCUUUUUUUUUUUUUAAGAAAACAAUUGAUUUUGGAUGACUCCCUAGUUUGUGCUAGUAUUGUCAAAUAGGAUAUUAGAAUCGGCAAUUAAUUAACGUUGUACAUAAGACGGAUUCAGAGAUUCUUGAUCGUGUUUUGGUACCCGCAAGCACUAUUCUCUGAUAGGUUGCCAAAUAUAUCAAAACUGAAAAUUUAGCUAGUCUCCAAAUGCCGUGCCAAUUGGGAAUCCUUUAAUUCCUUAUUUACUUCUCUUUUUCCAAAGAAAUGUUGUGUCAAAUGGUCCACCACUUUUCCGAUUUUCAGUACUUGUUAAUCAUGCUACUGCGACUUUAUCUAUCAGGUGGCAACAUGGAUGGCAGAAAGGUGGCCAAUUAAGACAGUUGGACCAACAGCUCCACUACUUUUUGUAGACAAAAGACUACAGAAUGGCAAUGAUCAACAAGGGAACUAUCUGUUUGAGACAAACGCUGAAGCUUGCUUAAAAUGGUUGGACGAAAGAGAAACCUGUUCUGUAGUUUACGUAUCGUUUGGGAGCAUUGCAGGGCCCGGAGAAGAUCAGAUCGAGGAAGUGGCAGACGCCCUCCUGAGGAGCAACUGCAAAUUCCUUUGGGUAGUCAGGGAAGAAGAAGAGAGUAAGCUGCCAAAGAAUUUCAAGUCUGAGUCUUCAGAGCAAGGCCUAAUCAUAAACUGGUGUCCACAACUUGAGGUUUUAGCCCACUGGGCGAUCGCGUGUUUCGUGACACAUUGUGGAUGGAAUUCAACCAUUGAAGCUCUAAGUGCUGGCGUGCCAAUGAUAGCAGCGCCACAAUGGGUUGAUCAAACUACAAAUGCUAAGUUUAUUGCUGAUGUAUGGCAAACGGGGCUGAGGGUGAAGCUAAAUGAUAAAGGAUUUGUCAGAAGAGAAGAGUUUGAGUAUUGUAUCAGAGAAAUUACUGAGGGUGAAAGGGGGAAGGAGAUCAGAAGAAAUGCUAAGAAAUGGAAGGAAUUGGCCAUACAGGCAGUAGGAGAAGGUGGAAGUUCUGAUAGGAACAUUGAAGAUUUUGCGACCUCACUUUUGUGCCUCCCAUGACGCGUUUCUGCUCUAGUCUCUAGGGAGUUUGUGGAUGGAAACAAUCUGAAAUAGGAAUUCUGUACAAGUAUUUUAAUAAUAAAACGAUGACAAGAUUUGAUUUUGAAUGUAAAUCUGUAAUUGUUUAGAAGGAUUUAGAAUAUGCUUCUUUUCUGUAGGACAAAUUUUAUGUUAACCAACUAUAUUACCAAAAUUUAGAUCUUUUUAUUUUUUUUUUAAUUUGUCUUUUCUAUUAUAGUUUUCAAUUUUUUAACAUGUCUUUUUCAUUAUAGUAACUCAAGUAUGACCACUUUAUUGAAAUUGUCCUUUUCACAAUGACAAUCACACUUCAUUCUACGCCUCUCUUCCUUUUGCUGCUGCAUACAACGGCUUAUAGUUUCAAUCACAUGAGUUUAGUUUAUUGUAGUUAAUGUUGGAAUAUUUUCAACUAUUGAAAAUUUGGACAGAUUUCUAGAGGUAGUUUUCUGCAUUUCAUUGUUAAGAAAAUAUAAGUACUCUUGUAGAUAAUAAAUUAGUAAGGGUAUUCUUGUAAAUAGUUUGUUAAGUUUGUACUAUUAUAAAUAUUAGUUGAUCACUCAUAAUACAAGUGCUAGACUUUUUUCUCCCAAAAUAUAUGUUAUCGUGGUAUCAGAGCUAAAGUCCUAGAGUUAAGGUAAAACAUCUAACAAAAGUUCUGUUCACGUGAUACUAUUCAUUGCGUUACUGUUCACGCAUUAUUGUUCCAAGGUACUAUUCAUCUCGAAUUUUGAUUGUUUUUGGUUUGAACUAUUUGUUAUGGCUGAAACUGAAAGUUCAUCCAAAAGUGUCGUGGCGUCCAUUAAUGUUAUGACAAUGAUGAUGUCUCAAAUUACAAAUUGAAAGUUGAACGACACUAAUUAUCAAUAGUGGUCAAAAGCUAUUAAGAUUUAUCUGACAGGCUUAGAAAAGUAACGACAUCUCAUAGGUGACUCUCCUACGGAGGAUAAUAGGAGACUAAUGUGGAUUCAAAAGGAUGCCUAAAUUCUUGGAAUACAAUUGAAUUCUAUGGAGCCACGAAUUGCUUACAUAUGUUCUCAUAUAAGACAACAAAAGAAGUUUGGGAUUAUAUCCGGUUAUUAUACUGUAGUAAUCUUUCAUGGAUGUAUAAUAUUUCUUUGGAGUAUUUUUAGCAACAAGAUAACAGAUAGUAACUGAAAACUUUGCUAAUCUCAAACGAAUUUUAGAAGAAUUAAAUGUUGUAAUGCUUUUCUCAAGUGAUAUUAUAGUUAUACAGAGGCAAAGAAAACAAAUACUUGUACUCAAAUUCUUGACUGGCCUUAAGUCAGAAUUUGAACAAAUCAAAUCUCAAAAUUUAGUAGGUGAAUAAUUACCAUCCUUUCAGAGGCAUAUGCUCGUGUCUUAUGUUCUACAUCUAAGGAUAAUGCAGGGUGAUGGUACUUUAAUUAAUGACAAGUCUGCUUUAGUUGUUAACAAUAAUCGGAUAGAGAAAUUUAGUCCUGAACGUGAGCAACUUAGUUUUGGAUGUGGCUCUCUUGGAGGAAGAAGUAGAGGAGGCCGUGGAGGUCGAGACACCCAUAAGUGUACUCAUUGUGGUUUGAAAAAUCAUACUUGUGAUACUUGUUGGAAUUUAGUUGGAAAACCUCCUCUGUUUGCUAAUACGGUUACCACUGAUCAAGUUGAAUCAGGUUCUUCAACACAAGGGUUCCAGAAGACUUUAACUUUAUCUGAGGAAGAUUAUGUUAAAUUCCUAUAGUACCAAACUGCAAACCGCCCAUCUCUUCCCUCUGCUUCUUUAGCAUAAGAAGGUAAUGUUAUGGCUUGUCUCUCCACAUCUUCUAAUUCUGAUUCAUGGGUUAUUGACUCAGGCGCUAUUGAUCAGAUGUUAGGUACCUUUAGAAAAUUUUCUAAUAUUCAAAAGUCUACUUACUUUUCUCAUGUUAUUUUAUCUUAUAGAUCUACAACUAAAGUUAAAUGACUAGGCACUGUAGAAAUUAAGCCUUCUCUUCCGCUGUCUUCUAUUCUUCAUGUAUCGAAUUUGCCUUUUAAUCUAAUAUCUGUUAGUAAACUUACUAAAUUUUUGUAGUGUUCAGUUACUUUUUUUUUCUAAUUUUAUUGUCAUUCAGGAUUUGAAGACAAAAAGAAUGAUUGGUGGAGGGCAUGAGCAUAAUGGUCUUUAUUUUCUUAACUCCAAUGAUCCGAUUGCAUGUCCUGCUAUUGUUUUUCUCUUGAAAUUCACUAUUAUUUGGGUUAUCUGUCUCUACAAAAUUUGAAGAAGUUGGUUCCUACUUUGAGUCAGUUGUCUUCACUAGAAUGUGAGUCUUGUCAGUUAGGAAAGUAUCAUCGUGUUUCUUUUGCCCCUCGAGUCAAUAAACGAGUUGCUGAAUCCUUUUGUUAGUUCAUUCUGAUGUUUAUGGUUCUAAUCGCAUCACUUCAAAAUUAGAUUUUAAAUAUUUUGUAAUCAUUAUUGAUUACUUUUUUAGAGUUAUAUGGUUUUAUUUAAUGAAAGAUCGUUUAGAACUAUAUUUCAUUUUUUGUGCAUUUGUUACAGAAAUAAAAAAUCAAUUUGGUGUACCUAUAUGUAUACUUUACAGUGAUAAUGUGAAAGAAUAUUUUUUUACUCCUUUUGAUACUUUUAUGACUAAGUUCGAUAUUAUUCAUCAGUUCUCUUAUCCCCACACUCCACAACAGAAUGGAGUUACUAAAAAAACAAAAUUGGAUAUUUAGUCGAAAUUGCUCAACCACUUUUGUUGCACGUGAAUGUGCCUAAACAGUUUUGGAGUGAUGCAGUUUAACUGCAUGUUAUUUAAUUACUUGCAUGCUAUCUAAUAUUCUUGGAGGUCAGUUAUCUCACUCCAUUUUUUUUUCUCGUGAACCUAUGUUUAAAUUACCUCCUCAUAUUUUUGAAUGUGUGUGUUUUGUUCAUUAGCUUGCUCUUGAGGUGAAUAAAUUAGAUUCUCGUGCUAUUAAAUGUAUUUUCUUAGGAUAUGCAUGAGUGCAAAAAGGAUAUAGAUGUUGCAGUCAAAAUUUAAAUAAAUUUUUCACUUGUGUUGAUGUUACUUUUUUUGAGUCCACUCCUUAGUUUAUGAAACAAGAUAUGCCUAGUGAGUUAGAACAGUGUUUCUCUUUUCUUUCUCCUGUUUUACCAACUCUUCAUCUUUAUUACCUGAGUUAUACAGUCCACCAGCUUUUGCCUGUUGUUGGUUGUAAACAGGUGUACACUAUAAAAGUGUAGUCUAAUGAUCCUAUUGAUAGAUUGAAGACUCGUCUGGUAGCUAAAGGAUAUAUUCAGGUGUAUGGAAUAGAUUACUUAGAGACAUUUUUUUCUGUUACAAAAAUUACCUCUGUUCAUUUUCUGAUCUCUUUGACAGCAAUUUAUAAUUGGUUAUUGCAUCAGCUGGAUGUGAAAAAUACAUUUUUACAUGGAGAUUUAAAAGAAAAAGUAUAUAUGGAACAACCUCCUGGGUUUGUUGUUCAGGGGGAGAAUUCAAGGUUGGUUUGUUAUCUAAAAAAAUUCUCAUGUGGAUUGAAACAGUCUCCCAGGGCUUGGUUUGGCCGAUUUAGUAGUGUUGUCAUGGAAUUCGAUCUAACAAAAUGUGAAGUAGAUCACUCUGUGUUUUAUCGACAUUCUAAUGCUGGUAAGAUUUUAUUAAUUGUUUAUAUGAAUGAUAUUGUGAUUACAGGUGAUGAUAUUAUGGGGAUCCAAAAGUUUAAAUCCAAUCUGCAGGCAAACUUUCACACAAAGGUUUUAGGUCACUUACAAUAUUUUAUGAACAUUGAGGUAGUUCAGUCUAAAUAUGAAAUUUAUUUAUGUCAAAAAAAAAAAUAUGUACUCGAUAUGUUGAGUGAAGUUGGAAGGGUAGGUUGCCAACCUGUGGAUAUUCGUAUGGAGCCUAAUGUGAAAUUAGUAGGAGAUCAAGUUGCAUUACUAGAUGAUCCUGAAUACUAUCGAAAACUUGUAGGUAAAUUAAAUUAUCUCAUUGUAACGAGACCUGACAUUUCAUUUGCAGUGAAUGUCGUGAGUCAACUUCUUAAGACCUCUUAUACCAGUCAUUAGGAUGCUACUAUAUGAACUCUCAGGUAUCUUAAAAGUACUCCUGAAAAAGGGUUGUUAUAUUAAGAUCAUGGACACACUGAUAUUGAAUGCUACAACGAUACACAUUGAGUUGGUUCUGCCUCAAAGCGAAGAUCGACCACAGGAUAUAGUGUGUUUGUUAGUGGUAAUUUAGUAUCAUGAAAAAGUAAGAAACGAACAGUUGUCUUCAGGUCAAGUGUAGAAUCUGAAUACCGCGUUAUGGAUCACAUUAUGUGUGAGUUGAUUUGGUUGAAAAGCAUGUUACUUAAAAUUGAGCUUGAACAUAAACAAUUUAUAAAUUUAUUGUGUAAUAAUCAAGCGGCUGUUCAUAUUGCGUCUAACCCAGUGUUUCAUGAAAGAACAAAACAUAUUGAAGUUAAUUGUUAUUUCAUUCGAAAGAAAUUGUUUGAUGGAGUUAUCAAGACAUCUCAUGUACCAUCUGUAGAUCAAUUGACUGAUUUGUUUACUAAGAGUUUAGGGGGCUCUAGGGUGAAAUACAUUUGUAACAAAUUGGGUACUUAUGAUCUAUAUGCUUCAAUUUGAGAGGGAGUGGUAAGAAAAAUAUAAGUACUCUUGUAAAUAAUAAAUGAAUAAGGGUAUUCUUGUAAAUAGUUUGUUAAAUUUGUACUACUAUAGAUACUAGUUGGUCACUCAUGAUACAAAUGUUAGAUAUUUUUCUCCCAAAAUACAUCUUAUCACAUUCGCAACCAUUCAGGUUUCAACCGUCAUUUGAAGAGAUACAAUUCCAAAUAUGUUUCUAAUGGUUAAUAACUGUUUAGGGGACAUGAAAUCUUAUUUAUGUGGAUCAUUUGUAGUCAUUUGGCUAUAGACAAAAAAGACUUACAAACUCUAGAAAAAUUUCUACUCUUCUCUUCUUUAUUCUUGGGAGGUUGCAACAACUUAGUGCAGAGUUUUGCAACCAAAUUUCAUCUUAUUCUAGAGAAUAUUCGUCCUUGAUCUUUUGCACAAUAUAGUGGACGAAUAGUCUUAAGGAAAGAGAUUUACAGUCACAAUUUGAAGCCUUUUUUUCUUGUUAGUUUUAUAGCCAUUUCAUAAUAUUAUCUUUGUUAUUGUUCCAACAAUCUUAAGGCUUUACUCCUCCCUUGAAAUGGCAAGCACUAUAAAAGAUUUGACUUUCAAUAGUGUUAAACUUGACCGUUUUGAUGGAAGGAAUUUCAUUCGUUAGAAGAAGUGAGUGCAUUUUCUUCUUGUGGCCCUUAAAGUGGUGUAUGUUCUAACUACUCUAAGACCUGCAACAAAUAAUGAAGAAGAGACGUUGGAUGACAUCCACAAUAGGCAAAAAUGGGACAUGGAUGAUGAGAUUUGUAGGGAACACAUUCUCAAUGCAAUGAGUGACAGGCUUUUUGAUGUCUAUCAUUCGGUGACAACAGUCAAGAAACUUUGGGACAAGUUAGAAGCAAGGUACAUGAGGGAGGAUGCAACAACUAAGAAAUUUCUUGUCUCUGGUUUCUUUAACUAUAAAAUAGUAGACAAGAGGCCUGUUAUGGAUCAAUUUGCUAAGCUUGAAAAGAUGUUUAAUCAUUUUUCUCAACACAAUAUGUUCAUGGAUGAGACAAUUGUUGUAGUUCUAUAAUUGAUAAACUACUACCCUCUUGGAAGGAUUUCAAAAGAGAUCUCAAACACAAAAAGGAAGAGAUCACUCUUGAAAGUCUUGCUAACCCUUUUCGUGUUGAGGAAGAGUUUAGAAUGCAGGAGAACAACGAUGUUCAACUGAAGGAGGAAGAAAAGGACGCAGAUUCUACUUCCAAAGUGAACAUGGUUGAAGAGGGACAAACAAACAAGUCCAAGGAUAAUAAAAAGUUCAAUCAAUCAAAGAAUCAAUCUAACAAGAAUAAGAAAAGGAAGAAAAAAGGGAAAUGCUACCAUUGCAAGAAGGAAGGGCAUUACAAAUAUGAAUGCAAAUUUCGCAUUCUUGUGGCUAUGAUUUCUGCACUCAACAUAGUUGAGGAAGAUUUUCUUGGUGGAUUGAUUCUGGUACUACCUGCCAUGUAUGCAAGAACAAGGACUAUUUCAAGUCUAUGAAAGAAAUGGAUGAUGAACAAUCCAUAGUAUACAUGGCUAAUGCCGCAACUGUUCCUAUUAAAGGGGUUGGGGAAGUAGAUUUAAAGUUUACAUCUGGACAUGUUGUAAUUCUUACAAAUGCACUGUUUGUUUAGGAAUUAAGAAAGAAUCUAGUUUCGGGUAGUUUGAUGAAUAAGUUUGGAUUUAAACUUGUGUUUGAGACUGAUAAGUUUGUACUCUCCAAAAGUGGUAUGUUUGUAGGCAAGGGCUAUAUAUGUGAUGGUAUAUUAAAACUAAAUGUCAUGCCUAUUAAUAAGAUGAAUAAGAAUAUUUCUUUUGCUUAUGUACUUGAGUCUACUACUACAUUAAGGCAUAAUAGGCUUAGACAUGUUAAUUAUAGGAGGAUACAUGAUAUGAUCAAACUUGAUUUGUUACCUAAAUAUGUCCAAAUGGAGGAUGGUAAAUGUAGAACAUACUUGUUAACAAAAAACCUAGAAAUUCAUUUUCAAAGAUUGAAAGGAAAACAAACAAGUUACAUCUUAUUCAUAGUGAUAUUUGUGAUUUGCAUGGUACCAUAUCUUUAAGGAGAAACAAGUAUUUUGCCACUUUUAUUGAUGAUUGCACUAGCUUUUAUUUUGUAUAUUUGUUACAUUCAAAAGAUGAAGUCAUGCAUAUGUUUAAGAUAUACAAAGUAGAAGUAGAACUUUUAUGUGACAAUUUGAUUAAAUGUUUAAGAACUAACCAUGAUGGUGAGUACUAUCAAAAGGAAUUUUUUGAAUCCAGUGGUAUUAAGUAUGAACUCACCGCUCCAUGUGCUCCUCAACAAAAUGGUAUGGUUGAAAGAAAAAAUAGAGUACUUAUGAAAAUGGUGAAUGUAAUGCUGUCAAAUUCUGGUUUAAGUCAAGCUUUUUGGGGAGAAGCCGUACUUAUAGCUUGUUACAUAUUAAAUAGAGUUCCAAACAAAAGGAGCUCUAUAACUCCUUAUGAACUUUGGUACAAACAAAAGCCAAAUCUCAAACAUUUGAGAGUUUGGGGCUGUAGAGCCAUUGUCAAAGUUCCUAAAUCUAAGAAAAGAAAAUUAGGUGAAAGAGGUGUUGAGUGCAUUUUCUUAGGAUAUGUACAAAAUAGCAAGGUCUAUAGAUUUAUGAUAAUAGAGCUUAAUAAUUCAAUAUCAGUUAACAUGAUUAUUGAAUCAAGAGAUGCUAUUUUUGAUAAGAAAAGAUUCACCUCUAUAUCUAGAGAAAUUGACAAUGCGCUAAACCAGAAUGAAUCACAUAAAGAUAGCUUAAAUAAUGAAAAUAAAAUCAUUGAACCAAGAAAGAGCAAAAGAGCUAAGAAGGCGAAGUCUUUUGGUUCAUAUUUUGUUACUUACCUUGUUGAAGGGACAAGGUAUGAAAUAAGUAAUACUAUUCCUUAUUGCUUUAAUACCGAAGCUGAUCCUAAAACAUUUGAUGAAGCAAUCAAAUCAUAUGACGCUUCAUUCUGGAAGGAGGCUAUAAGUGAUGAGAUGGACUCAAUUAUGGCCAAUAAAACUUGGGAGUUAGUGGAUUUACCACCAAGUUCCAAACCAAUUGAUUGCAAAUGGAUCUUCAAGAAGAAAUUGAAGGUGGAUGGAACUAUAACCAAGUUUAAGGCCAAAUUAGUUACCAAGAGGUUUACUCAAAAAUAUGGCAUUGAUUAUUUUGAUACUUACUCGCAGCUACCAUAAGGGUGCUACUCGUGAUAGUUUCAAUCCAAAAAUGGAUAAUUCACCAGAUGAAUGUCAAAACAACAUUUUUUGUUUAUUGUGAAUUGGAUGAAGAAGUGUACAUAAAACAACCCAAAGGGUUUUAGUUCCGGGGCAAGAGCACAAAGUGUGCAGACUUGUAAAGUCCUUGUAUGGAUUAAAACAAACUCCAAAACAAUGGCAUCAAAAAUUUGACCAAGUAAUGCUUGCUAUUGGGUUUAAGAUUAAUGAGUCGGACAAAUGUACAUAUAGCAAGUGUAUGAGUGGUAAAGGUGUCAUUAUUUGCUUGUAUAUGAAUGAUAUGUUAAUCUUUGGUACUGACUUAGAGCAAUUCAAUGAAACCAAAAAGUUACUAUCAUGCAAGUUUGAAAUGAGGGAUAUGGGAGAGGCCGAUGUUAUUCUAGGAAUAAGAAUUAAGAGAGAGCAAGGACAAAUUUUGCUUUUACAAUCUCGUUACAUUGGAAAGAUUCUUAGUCAUUUCAAUCAUCAAGAUUGUAAUCUGCCUUAACUCCCGUUGAUCCGAAAAUUGACUUUGUUAAACAUGUUGGUGAUCUUGUGUCUCAAUUGGAUUACGCCAAAGUGAUUGGAUGUUUGAUGUAUGCAAUAACAUGUACAAGGCCAGAUAUAGCUUUUGUUGCAGGUGUAUUAAGUAGAUACACAAGCAAUCCAAGCAAACAACAUUGGUUUGGUGUAACUAGAGUUUUGAGGUAUCUAAAACAUACCAAAGUCUAUGGCAUUUGCUAUAGUGGCUAUCCUUCAGUAUUAGAAGAUUAUUCGGAUACUAGUUGGAUGACAAAUAAAGAUGAUUAUUCUUCUAUGAGUGGUUCAGUCUUUAUAUUACAUGGAGGAGCAAUUUCCUGGGCAUCCAAGAAUCAAACAAGCAUAACCAACUUCACCAUGGCAGCUAAAAUUAUAGCCUUGAUUUCAGCUAGCAAAGAAGCUGAUUAGUUACGAAAUUUGCUACAUGAAAUACCAAUGUGGCCAAAACCAAUUUCACCAAUCUCCAUACAUUGCGAUAGUGUUGCUACGCUUGCUAAAGCUUAUAGCCAACUGUACAAUAGCAAAUCUAGACAUGUUGGAUUAAGACCUAAUCUAGUAAGAGAUUUGAUCACAAAUGGUGUGAUAAUCAUAGAUUUUGUAAGAUCAAAAGAGAACCUAGUAGAUUCUUUAACUAAGGGAUUAACAAGGAAAUGAUGAUUUAAACAUCUAAAAGGAUGGGGUUGAAAUCCAAUCCAUAAAUCACUAACAAUGGAACCUCAAUUCAACAUUAUUUAUAACAACUAGCCUUGAAUUAAAUGAGUAAAAGUACAUUGAUAUAGUGGUUUGAAUACUAUAAAACAUCCUAGAAGGUGUGUUGUGUUUUUUCCCGCUUGAAAUUGGAAGGUUGAACUUAGAGUUCUUAACAAGUCGUGUAAAAUGCUACAAAUGGUGGGGCAUUAAGAGCUUGCCUAUAUGAAUGUUGAAUUGGUAGCAUCCACAAAGUUUUGGACUUAACUUUGAACACGUUCAUGAAAGGAUAGGGAUACAAGACCUAAUGUAUCACUUGUAUAAACAAAUUGAAGAGAAGUAAAUUUGUGUGUGCUAAUUUAUGUGGCUUGUUGCAUAUACUCUUGGCUCAAAACUUGUCUACCAAGUAGUAUUAACAAUUUAUAAUCAAUUAACACUAAGAUGGUAGUUUGCAAAAAAAAUUAACACUAAGAUAGUGGUUCAAUCGAAAGAUACCAUUGUUUAUACAUAGAUUAUCAAAAUUUUCAGUGAUCCAUAAAGAAAUUUUCAAUAUGUUGAAAAUGGCGGGCGAUUGUUGGAAUAUUUUCAAAUAUUGAAAAUCUGGAUAGAUUUCUAGAGGUAGUUUUCUGUGUUUCAUUUGCAACCGUUCAAGUUUCAACCAUCAUUUGAAGAGAUACAACUCUAAACAUAUUUCUAACGGUUAAUAACUGUUUAGGGGAUAUGAAAUUUGAUUUAUGUGGAUCAUUUGUGGUCUUUUGGCUGCAGACAAAAAAGACCUACAAACUCUAGAAAAAUUUCUACUCUUCUCUUCUUUGUUUUUUGGGGGUUGUAACAACUUAGUGCAGAGUUUUGCAACCAAAUUUCAUCUUAUUCUAGAGGAUAUUCAUCCUUGAUCUUUUUCACAAUAUAGUGGAUGAAUAAAUUAAAACUUAAGAAAAGAGAUAUACAGUCACGAUUUGAAGCCUUUUUUCUUGUUAGUUUUAUAGCCAUUUCAUAAUAUUUUCUUUGUUGUUGUUCCAACAGUUAACCUAUCUAGUUUGUCAUUAUUCCUCACAAAAAUAGAUAUCCAUUUAAUGGAUUAUAUGGAAAAGUUCACAUAAUUUAGUACAUGCUUGUUUGUGUGAAACAUGAAGAUCUAGAUGCUAAAAUUGCUUGAUAAUUUUCAAUUCCAUCGGGAAAUAAUCAUACUUUUCGAUGCUACAAUAAGGAGAGGGUUUUAUUUGCACCAAUCGUAUUACCAAAUUCAGCUACGAGGUCAUCAACCCAUACAACGUUUAAUUUUUUCAACUUUUUUUUUUAUUCAAGGUAUCCAUCCAAAGGAUUAUGUGGAAAAGUCUACAUAAUUUAGCACAUCCUUUUUUGUGUGAAAAGUGAUGAUUUAGAUGCUUUAACCGCCUGAAAAAUCUCAAUUUAACACGGAUGUUAUACUUCUCCGCGCUACAAUAAGGAGAAAGUUUAUGUGCACCGACCAUAUUACCAAAUUUAGCGAUGAGGUCAUUAACCUGUACAAUCGUUAAUGUUUUCAAUUUUUUUUUUCAGUUUAGCAAACUAUUUUCUUAGAAAAUCAAUCAUUUAUGAGAAACAUAAUUUUACUGUUAUUAAUAAUCUUUUAUCCGAUCUAUGUAGAUAAACGGAGAGUGAAAGAGAGAUUUCACGAAGACCGUCUCACCAAACUCAUGUUAGGGCCAGAUCUUGGCAAUUAAAUUAUUUAUAAUUUUUGGUAAAAAUACUCCACAAUGCAAUAUUGUGACGGGUGCAUAUGGUACGCUCAAUAUAUGUGCAACUUAGAAAUAAAUAAUUUCUUUUUUUUUUGUGCAUGUGAAUUAAUUGCAUCAAAUUCUUUGAUACUCAAAAUCGUAAUUUCGAAGUGUUAUUCUCAUGUAAUAUGGUUCAUCCUUGUGGGGUAAAAAUGAAAGUUUAAAAGUGACCACAAACUAUACCAAAAGCAUGUGGAUGCCUUGUAUGUAGCAAAGAUGACAGAGACUCGAAAUCUUGGCCUAAUGGUAGUGUUCAUUACUUGCCCAUCCACUUAAAAUCAAAAAACAAAGAAAGAACACAUCAUAAAUAGAAAAUUUGUCCAUUUGUACAAUUUCUUGCCUUUGUUUCUUGUACUAUAUGUGGUUGGAAGUUUAAGGCUGUUGCAGCCCAUUUCUGGUUGCCGUUUUCAUGUGAUUCCAAUUGCAUUUGGACAAACAAUAACGAAUGAACCAAAUCAACGUUGUAGAUAAGUUUAAGCCGCUUCUCAUUUCCUUCUAGAAAAAUUUCAAUAGCCUAAAAGGAUAAGAAAUGAUAAUAUGUGUGGUUGGAGAUCUCCAAUGAAUGGUCACCGAUAAAGCCAGCCUUCAGAGAUAAGCUGUAUUUAGAAAACUAGUUGACCCAUAGCGAUCUGCCCUUUUUUUUUUUUUUUUUUUGUGUGUGUAUAAAACAUUUUAUAAUUUGGAGUGUAGUGAUCUAGACACUGCUUCAAAGUUUUAGAUGUCGGUUUAGUAAUCGAAAUUGAGAAUUCAGAAAAUAGAGGUCCUAAAUUCGACUGUAACUACAAAGAUUGAGUUUCUUUUCUCACUAUUGCGAAAUUUUUCAUGUUUCUCAAAAAUGGUUUAGUUACAAAAAGCAACUGAAAAAGUACGAGGUAGUAUGAUCUUGGAAUAACCAAAAACUAGGAGGUGAGCCAUUUUUUAUUUUGUUUCUACGACAUGGAAUCAUGCGUCUUAUGAAAUGUCAUUUUCUUUUAAAAAAAAAUGAAAUUUCUUAAUUGCAAGACAGCAAUCAUUCAAUUCAUUAUAACCUUUGCUGAUAAUUCGUGGCCGAGAAAAGGAGACAAAGCUCUCACUGCCCCCACUGACUCUAUCAAAAUCUUCACAUCUACGUAUGAAAUUGUAAUUGGUGGCCUAGAGACAGAGACAAAGUGAGGGCAAUUCAAAAUUUCCACAUCUACAUAUAAAAUUGUAGUUUUAUCCCCACACUUAAAUGAAAUUGUCCGCACUAUUCUUCAACAAAAUCAAAGUACUAGGAAAUUGCCCCCAACAAAAUCUUCAUAUAUGCAUAUAAAAUUGUAAAUUUACCCACACACUUAAAUGAAAUUUUCCUUAUUACCCUUCAACAAAAUCUAAAGUAGUAGUGUGCACUUUGUUUAUAUGUUUUUGUAUCCAAAUUUAACAACACCUAAAAUAGAUGACACCACCUUGUCAAAAGAAAAAAGAAACUCAAUUUGCAUUUAUUCUUCUUCUUUAUCUAUUUUAAUGUGCUAAACCAUUUUCAUUACACAUUGGAACUCACAAAUAUUAAUGCAGUAGUCAUACGUCUCACAAAGAUGUGAAGACGACAUCAGAAGAGUUUCACAUCCUUUAGAUAGUGGGAUCCCCAAUAGGCUUUUAGUUUUUGUUACGUGAGGCAACAACUGCUAAUAAUUGAGGCUCAAUGACAUUCUAGAAGCACACCCAUGAGCAGAUAUCUUGACAAUAUUUGUAGACAACCAAAAACAAGUAGUGAAGCAGCAUAAUCUUACUUUUAGAUCUUGUCUUUCACUUUUAAAGUAUUAUAGAGCAAAGUUCAGUUGUAGAUUAUAGAGCUUCUUUAAUCAGCAAAAACAUAGAAGGCAAAAGGUUUUCAAAGAAAAAUGCCAAGUUGGUAACUUAAAAAUUAGGUAGCUUAGAUCGAUCUUUCACUUCAAUUUUAAACAUUCAAUUUCCCUAUAUUUUUAAUGCGCUUGAAUCGAAUGUGUUUGUCGUGAUCAGAACACUUGAGAAUAGUUGGAUCUUGUGUAAUGAAUCACACCUUAUACAUGCUCUUCUCAUGGCAAAGAUAUAUAUGCAUUUGAAUAAAGGUUAUAUCAAAGGUAUCAUCUUGCUGUUGUGAAGGAAAAUUAGCCCUAAGUUGUAACUAGAGCUGCAAACCAAUCGAGUUGAAUCAAGUUUUGAUCUCAUCAAAUCGAGUUCAAUUCAAUUUUAUCAAAUUUGAACUUGAUGAGCUUUUAUAUAAAACUCGAGUUCAAGUUCGUUCUCAAAUUUGAGUCUAGUCGAGCUCAAGAUUGAGCCUACUCAAGUUUUAAAAAUAAAGAAUAAUUAUUUUAUUUUUUGAAUGAAUAAAAUAGUCAUUUUCCUUAGUAAAUAACAAAAACAUCAAGGAUAUAUAUUUAAUUUUAUUAUAAAAAUAAAAAUAUUAUAUAUAUAUAUAUAUAUAUAUAUAUAUAUAUAUAUAUAUAUUUGAGCCAGAUUGUGAGCUAGCAAACUAAGUUUUUCUAUGUUUCACUCGAGUUCAAUAGCUCAAUCUAGUCGGAUUGAACUCGAGACGGAACUCAAGUUGUGUUUUUACCGAAUUUACUCGCGAACGACUUCAUUCGUUUGCAACUCCACUUGUAACAAUGUCAGAUAAGGAUCACCGUGAAGUGUGGUGAUAUUAUUUAAAGUCAAACAUCCAGUCCAAGUAGUUGCUCCCAACUCCAGGAAAGAUUGAAUGUGAAUUAAAAAAUGCAUGUGGGCAUAUGUGGGCAUGGCCAUUGUGACAGCUUUAAUCAUAACUUCCUUUCCUGCAUUGCUUAACAGCUUAUUCUUCCAGCCUUCCAAUCUUCUAUUGAUGUUUUCUCUUAUGUAUCCGAAGAUUUGGUCUUUUGUCCUUGAAAUCACCAUAGGUAGACCAAGAUACUUCCCUUGCUUCACUUCUUCCAUACCCCCUAGUAUACUGCAAAUCUCACUUUUCUACCUGCUCUCUACAUUCUUGCUAAAGAUCACAGAUGACUUCUCUAAGUUGAUCAAUUGUCCAGAAGCUUGUUCAUACACCUUUAAGAUUCUCAUGAUUUCUUCAGCUUGCUGCUUAUCAGCUCCACAGAAAAUGAGUGAGUCAUCCGCAAAGAAAAGAUGAGUAAUAUUUGGUCCCUGCCUACUAAUUUUCACGCCUUUCAAGCUCCUGUCCUCAACAGAUCUUUGGAGUAAGUUUGAGAACCCUUCAGAGCAAAUUAAAAAAAGAUAAGGUGACAGUGGAUCACCCUGUCUUAUCCCUCUACCUGGCUUCACAUAUCCUUUUACCUCCCCAUUGCAGUUGAAAGAGUAUGAAACAGUCUCCAUGCAUCUUGCAAUCCAGUAUACCCAUUUUUCACAAAAACCCAUUUUAAGCAUCAUAGCUUUCAAGAAGUGCCAUUCCACCCUAUCGUAAGCUUUAGCCAUGUCUAACUUGAUAGCCAUAUACCCUUCUUUCCCAAGCCUUUUGUUUUUUAGAUAUUGCAUGUAUUCCUGAGCUAUAAUCACAUUAUCAAGAAUUUGCCUAUCCGCGAUGAAGGCCGACUGAUUUUUACUGAUGCAUUUGUCAAGAACUGGUUUCAAUCUGUUAGCUAAAAUAUUGGAAAUGAUCUUGUACAACACACUACACAGACUUAUAGGCCUAUAGUUUUUCAAGCAUGUGGGAUUCAGGACCUUGGGAAUCAGAGAGAUAAUAGUGUGAUUAAUGGACUUCAGCAUGCAACCAGGCACAAAAAAAUCUUGGACUGCCUGGGUUACAUCCUUCUUGAUCACGUUCCAGGAUCUUUGAAAGAACAGGAGGGUCAUUCCAUCUACACCUGGUGCUUUAUCCGGGUUCAUGGAAAAAAUGACUGAUCUUAUCUCCUCCUCAAGAACUGGUCUGGUCAGAUUGAAAUUCAUCUCCUCAGUAAUAGAAUGAGUAAUACCCCUUAAAACCUCAGAACUGUCUCCUACCCCAUCACUGGCAAACAGAUUUUUAUAAAACAAGGACAUCUCAUCCACAAUAUCCUCCUCAUUCUUUGUCCAAGAACCAUCAUCUCUUUGGACACUAGAGAUUCUAUUCCUGUUCCUCCUACCUCUCACAGACGCAUGGAAGAAUCUGGUGUUCUUAUCACCCUCUCUAAGCCAUUGUACUCUAGCUUUUUGGCUCCAGAAAGAUUCCUCCUCCCUAAAAGCCUUCUUCAGUUGAUCCUUCAGCUCAUUCCUAAUGACCCCUUUGUUCUCCAAGUUGGACCUCUCAUUGUUUUCUAGUUUGCUCUUGAUGUCCUUAAUGCUAACCUUAGAAUUCGCUUGGAAGGUGUUUUUCCACUUUAAGAUUUCCACCCUACAAUUUCUCACUUUCCUGGUCACUUUAAACAUUUUAGUACCUUGUUCCUCCUUACUCCAUGCCUUCUCAAUAACUUGUUGAAAACCAGCCUUCUGAAGCCAUCUCUUGUCAAAGUAGAAUCUUUUAUUCUUUUUCUUAUAAGCAGGCUCAGAGUCCAACAUAAUCAAACUAUGAUCAGAAGAAUAAGACUCUAUGUGCUUACAAACCGCCCCCUCAAACUUCUGGCUCCAUUCACAGCUACUAAGGCAUCUAUCUAAUCUUUGCCUUACUUCCCCUAAAUUAUCCCAGUGGUUGCUCCAAGUCCAGGGGUGACCCUCGUAGCCUAAGUCCACUAAACUAUUUUCUGCAAUAAAGUCCUUAAAGGCCAUGAAACUCUUCUCCUCUCUCUGGACACCCCCCCACUUCUCUUCAUUAGAAAUAAUAUCAUUAAAAUCUCCAGCAAUGACAUAUUUCUCCCCUCACAGUCUUUUCCUUUCCUUUAACACCUUCCACUGUUGUUUUCUAACAUGAUCAUCACAACUAGCAUACACUCCUAUGAACCACCACUCAUCCUGUGGUCCUCUACCUCCAAUUUUAGCUUCAAUAGUAAAAGCUGUUUGGAGAGUAGUUAAGAUUCUAACCCCCUCAUUCCAAAACAGGCACAUACCACCUGAUCUAUGCAUAGCUUCAGUAACCACACUAUUGUCAAACCUUAACCAGCUUUUAACUCUGGCCAUGUACUGCUCCCUAUUCUUAGUCUCACUCAGAAAAAGAAUGUCUGGAAAGAGGAGGUUGUUAACCUCCCUCAACUGGGGAAUUGUCAAGGGGCUCCCCAUUCCUUGACAAUUCCACACCACAACCCUCAUAAGCACUUGGGGGCCCCAUUAAGGAAGGGCCCCUCCUCCUCUUGGUCAGGCUCUAGAACUACCAUCAUCUCAAAAGAUUUAGCUUUCUUACAGGUCUGACUUACACUUUCCUCGCAAUCCAUUUCAUCAUCUUUCAGUAUUGUUUUCCUCUCCCCCCCACCAACCUGAAUAUUUCCUUGCCUAUUCAGCUCUCUUAAGGGUCUUCUAGAUUUGAUAGGGGCGGUCACCUUUCUAUUCAAUCUAGCUGACUGCUUCCUAAUAGCCUCCUGCACUUUUCCAUUUUUAUUAAACAUCUCCUGUAAUAGCAUUUCUCCCUCUAGAGCUCCCUCCAAAUUACCAGCAUUACUAACAACUGGUAUAGCCAGAGAGCUAUCCUCCUCCAUCUCAGCACAACUUUCUACAAGGGGGGUCUUGGCUGCUCCAACUACAAGAGCGCCUUUCUGUUCAUCCUUACCCCCUAGCCUGUGCCUGCACCUCUUGUUGCCUAAGAGAACCCCCUGUGUGUACUUCCUCCUGAAAGAGACCAGACACUUCACCAUCAACACUCAAACCAUUCAGGUCUUUAGAAAGGUUCUGACGAUCCUGCCUCUCCCUCUCCAAGACCUUAUUCAACUCUAGUUGGUUCUUUUCCAGAACACUACUCGGCUGGGCUAUUUCAACUAAAUUUCCAUUGAGGAACUUCCAGUAACGUUUAUCCUUAUCCACCUCAGGUCUGGAUUGCUUGGUCUGUGGUGAGCUCUUAGUGUUUUCUGCUCUUAACCAGGGACCAUACUGAUUGUCCACAUUUCUACCUAACACUUCUAGCUGACUAGUGCAAGUUCUCUCACCAUGUCCUACGAACCCACAAUUAUAACAGAAAUCAGGACAUCUUUCAUACUUAAAUGCUACCCAAGUCAAAAUUCCCUCAGUUUUUACUAUGGUCCCUCUUAACAGGGGUUUUGACAAAUCCACAGUCACAAACAUCUUCAAAUGCCUUCCUUCCUUACCCCCCAUUUAGGGGAUUAUAACAUCCUUGACUUGAUGAAACACUGCCCCUAUCUUACGACCAAUCUCUUUAGUGAUCCAAUGAAUCGGUAAAUUCCACACUUGCACCCACAUAGGAGCCAAUUUAAAGGCUUCCAUAUUACCUUCUAUACCUUCCAUCCACCUAUUCACCACCAGCAUUUGGUUAUCUAUAACCCAAGGUCCUCCUUCCAGGAUCAUUUCCCUAUCACCAGGGUUCGGUAAAUUGAAUUGAAAAAGGUUCGGACCCAGCUCUACUACUCCCAAAUUUUUGGGAUACCACCAUGCUACCGUGACGAACCCUUUAACCCCUGUAAAGCUCACCACCUUCUCACCCAUAAUUCUACCUAUUAUACUAUCCUUACACUCUCUAACCCCACUUUCUAGAUCCCCUAAGUCCAAAGUAGCUCCAGUGAGUUCAUUACCAGCUAAAGAAAAUUUUUGCAUCAUAUCACUCAAAUCCGCCUCCAUAGAAACAGUCCAAGGUCCUACGGGGAAAAAACUCACUACUGAGUAAGGAGAUGAGAGGACAGACACCAGGAACAGAGAGGACAAGAAGAAGAGAAAGAUGAGGGAGAAAACUACCGAACUAAGAGAAGCUCAGGGCACGGACACUGCUGAAAGAAAAAAUGCAUACCACCGAACAGAGACAAAAACCAGAAAACCAGAAAAACAGUAGCUUAACCACAAUACGCAAAUACUUAGACAUGAAUAGCUCAGGAAUUAACAAUAACUCACAGUUGGAACUGUGGCUGCGAGAAAGCGUAUGCUAUCAAGAUCGACACAACUUGCAACUUCAUAACUACGUUUCUUCUCAUUCCUCUGCAACAGAUGUUUCCAUUACUCCAGUCCUGCCACUACUUUUUGCAAUAACUCAUGCCAAUACUAUGUCCGAACAAGAAUCAAAAGCUAGUGUUUGGAUUUUAGGAAGGUUGUUGAAAUCUAGUGCAUUACCGGGAUUCGUGAGUUUAGGAGUUUGAAAAGUUUUGAAAACCCACCAAUGGGGGGAAAGUUCUCUCAAGGAAAGAGAAAGGUGCUCUCAAAGAGAGAGAAGCUGGGCCUAUAACUGAUCGCGAACAAACGAGAGACUAGAAAAAUGAUGAUUACAGAGCUUCUCUAACCAGCAAAAACACCGAAGGCAAAAGGUUUUCAAAAAGAUAGGGAUAAUAUCAGAAACCUCCCCUAAGGUUUCUCUUAAUAUCACUUUUCAUCCCUAAUGUUUUUAAAAUAUCACUUGUUUCCCUUCCUUUUGUUAUUUGUGUAACAAAAUUGUAUAAAAUUUCUAAACUACCCUUUUGCUUGCUAAUUGAAAAUACUCCAAAGCAGUUUUGUUUACUCUAAGAGAACCAUCACAUAAAAAACAAUCUCUAAUAGUAUUACCGCUUUAAAAUGCUAUAGUCUAUAAAAAUAUAAAUUUCAAAAUAAAAAAGAUAUUUAUAAAGAAAUAUACUAGCACCAAUUUAACUCUAUAUGUUCAAAACUAAUUUUUUAUGAACCUUAUAUUUUUUUCCAACUUCUUCUCAACCCGUGCCCAAGUCUUGAAAUUGUAUUGAUCAUUAUAAAAAUUAACUCAAAAUAAACAAAGAAAUCAUAACCCAUUCUAUUACAAUCAUAAAAAAUAAAAAAUAAAAAAUAAACAAAAUUCAAUUUACUCUAUAAAUUAGAAAUAUAAAAUCACAUGGCCAUCCAAAAAAAUGAGUAUGAGAAAAUGUUGGAGUAAGGAGAAGGAGAAGAAAGUGACUCUUAUUUCUUUUCUUCUUUUUUUUUUACGCUCAUUUAUUUGAUAUGUAUCAAGUGAAUUAUGUAUCAAGUGAGCGUUAAAAUGGUCUUUUUGCAGUUGCUAGGGGAGAUAAGUGAUUUUUUAAAAUCUUAAGGGUACCAAGUGAUAUUAGGAAAAAUCUUAAGGGAGGUUUUUCAUAUUAUCCCAAAGAAAAUGCCAUGUUGGCAACCUAAAAAUUAGGUAGUUUUAACUUUUAAGAGUGUAUCUUCGACUUCAAUUUUAAAAAUUCAGUGUCCCUCUAUUUUUAAUGCGUUUGAAUAGAAAAUACCUGUCUUGAUCAGAACACUUGGAGUAGUUUUCAAUGCGUUUGAAUAGAAAAAUGUCAGUCGAGUUUUGACUGAGUUUACUCGCAAGCCACUUGAUUCCUUUGUAACUCUAAUUGUAACAAUGUCAAUUACUAUAAGAUAACGAUCAAUGUAAAGUGGUUAUAUUAUUUAAAGUCGUACAUCCAGUCCAAGCAGUUGCUCCCAACUCGAGAAAAGGUUGACAGUGCAUUAAAAAGUGCACAUGCUAUUGCAUUUUUGUCUUGCAUUGAAUAGUAAUUCUAGUUAAUGGUCAUUAUAUUAAAUAUAAAGGCAACGAACGAAAUUUGACCCAAAAAGUUUAAAAGAACUAGCAUCCAUGUUUUUUUUUUUUUUUUUUUUUGCAUCUAUGUUUUUUUUUUAUCCAUUUUGCAUCAAGUUUUCAGGCAAUUAGGAGGUAAUUCGUCUCAAUGAUUUUAUACUCAUCACAAUACUAUCGGAUGGCACAUUGGAUGGCUAGAAAAUGUCAAUUAAGACAACUGGACCAACUAUUUUGAAGGACAACAACAUCACGGGGCUUGUCCAGUCGAGAUAAAGUCAGAUGCUUGCCUAAAAUGGUUGGACGAAAGAGAUUUUAGCUCAGUUAUGCAUGAAUCAUUAGGUAGUGUGGCUGCAUCUGGAGAAGAACAAAUGGAAGAGCCUGCAAGGGACACAGCCAAGAGUGACCACCACUUCUUAUGGAUGGUUAGAGAUUCAGAAGAGUGCAAACUUCCACCAAAUUUCAAGUCUGCAAUAUCAAUAAACGGUCUAAUAGUCAACUGAUGUCCUCAACUUGAGGUUUUGGCACAUCAAGCCGUGUAAUGUUUCAUGACACACUGCUGCUGGAAUGAUGCUUGAAGCAUUGAGUUCAGGUGUGCCAAUGAUAGCUACGCCACAGUUUGUUGAUCAAUUCACAAAUGCAAAGUUUGUCGCAGAUGUAUGGCAAACUGGGGUUCGAGUCAAGGGCCAAUGACAAGGGAAUUGUUACUAGAGAAGAAAUUUCAAUGUCCAUAAAGGCAGUUACUGAGGUCGAGAGCGCAAAGGAAUUCAGAAGAAAUGCUUAGACGUGGAAGGAGUUGGCACAACAGGAUACAUCCCAGGGUGGAAGUUCUCACAAGAACAUCGAAGAGUUUCUUGCACAAGUUUUAAGCAUCUAAUCUAAGUUAUUUCAUUUAGCUACUUUGAUUUAGCUACAAAAUUAGGUCACAUGAAAGCCUCAUAAGUAUUUACGGCAAACUGUAGUAUUGUAUUGUUGAUUCAACCGAUUAAUGUAAACCUGCUAAUACUUGUGUACGAGAACGAUAAAAAAAAAAUAAGAAACUUUACAGAAUUAAUCACGCGCAUAACAUAGUAUACAUUAGAGAUGUCAAUUACAGUUCAAUUAUGUUAAUCUGCCCAAAGCCGUCCAUCGAUAACCCGUCCAUUAAUUUUGAAUGGACCUAAAUAGGUAACAAUUAAAUUUAUUUAAUUAGUGGAUAGUAGGUUGAUUUGACUCACCCAUUUAUAUUCAUUUAAAAAUAACCAUACAUUUAAUUAAAUUCAAUUUUUAGUGAGUGUUAAGUAAAUAAAUUUGAAUGUCUUUUCUCGCACUUCUUCCUUUUUUUUUGUUGAGUUGUCAUUUUGCACUUGUUUUCCUAAGCAUCUAUCAUACUUUUGGUAUUUAUAAACAAAAAAAAAAAAAAAGGAGUUGCACUUUUUGUUUUAUACUCGAUACCCUACUUUGAAAAAGGUUUAAAAAGGAAACCUUCGUGAAAACCGAUCACUUCUCCAAGUUUCUUUAACACCUAGUCUUUUAUUACUGUCAUAAGAUAAUAGGUCUUCUUUUAAUCUAACACCAUUCCUGUUACACACAAAUUUUGUUCUUGGAUUAACUAAAGCAAAUCGCUAUUAGCCAAAACAAAAAGAAAAUCCCAGUUCUUUCAUUUCUCCCUUCUCCUUUUUGUCUUCUCUCCCAAUUCCGCAAAUCGUUCUUGUAAAAAAAGCCCCAUAGCAUAUGGUUUCCAGAUAAUUCGUUGCAGCAUCUUAAUCUGGGUUCGCCUUGUGACUUGAAUUCACAUUAGUGUCUUAGACAGAACAAAGUUUGAAAAUUGGAAAAGAAUUCUUCUACUUUUGGUUUUCUUUAUUUUUUAUAAUAAUAUUAUGCACCAUUGAAUUUUUCCACCACGUGUAUCACUUCGUUCAUGGACUGAUGAUAUGGAAAUUAGUUCCUUUCCAUCCUUGUCAACUAAAGAUGGGAAAACUGUUAUCUAGAAGAAAAAUUGUUUUAAUGAAAAUUAAAAUGCCCUUGCUUAUUUACAAGGGCAAAUUCCACCUUACCCCCUGUAGUUUAGCUUUUUUCUACAUAACUCCUCUAUGGUUUCAAAAGUUAUACAUAACCCCCUCAUAGUUUGAAUUAAAGUGUCAAAAUGAUGGGAAUGAUCAUAAUGGAGUCACCUAAAAUGUCAAAAAUACCCUUAUGUAAAGUUGAAAAUUAUUUAUUAAUCAAGGGGGUUAUGUGUAUAUUUUAAAAAUCAUAAGGGGGUUAUAUGGUAAAGUAUUAAACCAUAAAAGGGUUAUAUGGUAAAAUAUAAAAAUUAUACAGGAUUAAUGUAUCAUGUAUUUAUAAGGGUAAUUUCGAUAUUUUUAGAAGUUCCUUUACGAAUGACUAUUUCAGUCACUUUGACACUUUAAUCCAAACCAUGAGGGGGUUAUGUAUAGUUUUUGAAACUAUAGGGGGUUAUGUAAAAAAUGCUAAACCAUGGGGGGUUAAAAUGUAAUUUGCCCUAUUUACAAUCAUACUUUAUGAAACCUCAAUUAAGGUAAGGCAUUUGCAAGUUCCUAAUGCUUUGUUAACUUGAAAAGGCAAUUGACUUAUCAAGUCUGUAGCAGAAAUCGUUGUCUACGAUCCAAAGCAGAAUCAUCAAAUACAUGCAAUUAAUACGGCAGAAGUUUCUCCGCAGUUUGAAUAUGUGCCCAAGGUCAUCAAAGGAUUGCAAAUAAUUAAUGCUUAGAGCAGAUAGAUAGUAAAAAAAAAAUCAAAAGGCAUAAUUAAUACAAACUUAUAUAAAGUAAAAAAACCAAAAGAUUGAUUGAAAGUUGCUAUAGUCAGGGAAGUGAAAAAAGAAAAAGAGAAUAAGUGGGUGAAAAAAUGAAGAUAGAAUUAAUUGUUACCAAAAAUAAAAUAUUUAAAAUCAUUGCAAGUUACUAUAGUAAAGGAAAUGAAAAAGAAAAAAUGAAUAAGAGGUAAAAAGAAUAAAGAGAGAAUGGAUUGUUACCAAAAAAUAAAAUACUUAAUAGCUAUUCAAAUAAAAAAUUAAAUUUAAUCGCAUAGCGAAAAGAUAGAAUGUGCAUUUAGCAAAAAGUUAAAUAGCAAAUUGGACAAUCUAUCGAAAUAGAAAUUGAACAUUGUUGUUAUACAUAUAUAUACCCUGCAGCACAAUAUUCCAUUCAGCAGAUAGAUAGUAGCUAAAGAAUAGGAGACAUGGCGACAAUUGACAUUUCCCCUAGCAAAAUUCAUAUUCUUGCUUUCCCUUUUCCUGCAAAAGGUCAUAUAAAUCCUAUGUUACACCUCUGCAACCGCCUGUCUGCGAAAGAUUUCAGGGUUACACUGAUUACUACAGCUUCUAUAUUCAAGUCUGCUAAAACCAAAGCCAUCGGCUCCAUCAAGAUUGAGUGUAUUCCAGAUGACUCCGAUGAACCCGUUGAAGAAGAUCUCAAAGGCUUUUUGGCAAGGUUGAGAGCUGCUGCUUCCAGAGGCUUGGAAGAACUGGUUGAGAAAUGUAGAAAGACUGAUCCGUAUCCUCCCAGAAUUGUGAUUUAUGACUCAACUAUGCCUUGGAUUCUGAACUUAGCUCAUCGGGUGGGACUUCACGGUGCUUCUUUCUUUACUCAAUCUUGUGCUGUUUGUGCUCUUUACUACCAUAUGGACCAGGGAACAAUACAGCUUCCUCUUGAUAAGUCUGUUACUGUAAAAUUGCCUUCAAUGCCAGCACUAGAAAGCAAUGAUCUUCCUGAUCUCCAGUACUUCCCUGAUCCAGAUAAUGUUAUCACGAGGACUCUUCUUGAUCAGUUCUCUAACAUUGACAAAGUUGAUUUCAUUCUGUUCAACACUUUCGAAGAAUUGGAGGAUGAGGUCAGUUGGAAAUGCUAAUUAUAAUCCAGUGAACAUGCAUUAUUGAUGGAUUUUUUUGGCUGAUAAUUCAUGUAACUUUGUCAAACUAUGUUAUACUCUUGGAGGGGCAUAAGCAAAAUUUUAAUCAUGUGGAAAUUUUUUUAUUUUUUUUUAAGAAAAAUAUUGAAUUUGGAUGACUCCCUAGUUUGUGCUAGUAUUGUCAAAUAGGGCAAUUAAUUAACGUUGUACAAAACCCGGAUUCGGAGAUUCUUGAUCGUGUUUUUGGUACCCGCAAGCACUAUUCUCCGAUAGGUUGCCAAAUAUAUCAAAACUGAAAAUUUAGCUAGUCUCCAAAUGCCGUGCCAAUUGGGAAUCCUUUAAUUCCUUAUUUACUUCUCUUUUUCCAAAGAAAUGUUGUGUGAAAUCGUCCACCACUUUUCUGAUUUUCAGUACUUGUUAGUCAUGCUACUGCUACUUUAUCUAUCAGGUGGCAACAUGGAUGGCAGAAAGGUGGCCAAUUAAGACAGUUGGACCAACAGCUCCACUACUUUUUGUAGACAAAAGACUAGAGAAUGGCAAUGAUCAACAAGGGAACUAUCUGUUUGAGACAAACGCUGAAGCUUGCUUAAAAUGGUUGGACGAAAGAGAAACCUGUUCUGUUGUUUAUGUAUCGUUUGGGAGCAUUGCAGCUCCCGGAGAAGAUCAGAUCGAGGAAGUGGCAGAGGCCCUCCUGAGGAGCAACUGCAAGUUCCUUUGGGUAGUCAGGGAAGAAGAAGAGAGUAAGCUGCCAAAGAAUUUCAAGUCUGAGUCUUCAGAGCAAGGCCUAAUCAUAAACUGGUGUCCACAACUUGAGGUUUUAGCCCACCGGGCGAUCGCGUGUUUCGUGACUCAUUGUGGAUGGAAUUCAACCAUUGAAGCUCUAAGUGCGGGCGUGCCAAUGAUAGCAGCGCCACAAUGGGUUGAUCAAACUACAAAUGCUAAGUUUAUUGCUGAUGUAUGGCAAACGGGGCUGAGGGUGAAGCUAAAUGAUAAAGGAUUUGUCGGAAGAGAAGAGUUUGAGUAUUGUAUCAGAGAAAUUACUGGGGGUGAAAGGGAGAAGGAGAUCAGAAGAAAUGCUAAGAAAUGGAAGGAAUUGGCCAUACAGGCAGUAGGAGAAGGUGGAAGUUCUGAUAGGAACCUUGAAGAUUUUGCGACCUCACUUUUGUGCCUACCAUAAUGCGUUCCUGCUCUCUUGGGAGUUUGUGGAUGGAAACUAUCUGAACUAAGAAUUCUGUACAAGUAUUUUAAUAAUAAAGCGAGGACAAGAUUUGAUUUUGAAUGUAAAUCUGUAAUUGUUUAGAAGGAUUUAGAAUAUCUUUCUUUUGUAGGGGAAAUUUUAUGUUCGCCAAUUGUUAGUGUGUUUGGACAGUAAAUUAUUUAGAAUAAUUUUUAAAAAAAAUAUUAUAUUGCUUUUUUAAUAUGACAUAUAUUAAAUAAAAAGACCGGUUCACCACACUCGUGUUAGGGACAGAUUUUGGAAAUUAAAUUAUUUAUAUUUUUUGGUGAAAAUACUCCACAAUGCAAUAUUUGUGAUAGGUGCAUAUGGUACACCCAAUGACGAAUGGUUUUCGAUAAAAUACAAUAACGAAUGAACCAAAACAUGAUGCUAAAUUCAACUACAACUAUAAAUAUUGAGUUUCUUUUCUCGCUGUUGUGUAGACAUUAACGAGUUUUUUCUCUUUGUUUCAUUUGAUUGGAUAAGAAAAAGUUUAGGAGAAGAACAAAGGUUAAUUUACGAUAAGGCUAGGGUCGAUGACAAUCCCUUAUGGUUAGCUGUAAUUGUUUCUUUACAGAUCAUCUAUCAGUUAAAAAAAAAAAAAAAAGACAAAGAUUAAUUAAUGCACAAAAAUGUGAAGACGACUUCAGAAAAUUUAAUGCAGAAAAGUUUCACAUCCUUUAGACCGUGGGAUCGCAAAUAGUGUUUUAAUAUUGCUGGUUGAUGCAAUGACUGCUAAUAAUUGAGUAGAUAUCUUGACAAUAUUUGCAGACGGCCAAAACAAAUAGCAAACUAUUCUACAAAAACAACUACUAUAAGUUGCGACGCCAUGGGCACGUCGUGGUGGAUGAGGGAGAAGACGCCACACAAGGCCGGUGUCCCAAUCAAGGUUGCUGUUGUUUGAACGACGUCAAAAGGUGCAUGAACAUAAAAUACUGGGUGUGGGAAGGACGGUGUGAGAUUCAGGAUUAGUAAUUUAAUUCUGAUUUUUUCGUUGAAAGGAAGGACGGUGUAAUAGAGAAAUAGAAUAAUCAGGUGGUUCAACUGCUUUCACUUAUAAACCCGAGAUUGAUUAGGUCUUCUUUUUUUUUCGCUUAACGCUCCUGAUUUUUGAACAUUUACUACACUCAAUCGUCAUGUGAACACAUAAUCAAGGGUUAAUUCCAAUUUGUACCCUUAAUCUUUAUCCAAUUUCUCUUGUUGGUCUAUAAAUUUCAAAAUGGGAUACCUUAGUACCUAAAUAACAACAUUUGUAAUCCUUUAGUCCCAAAUGUAUAGAACGUGUCCAAUUUUGUUUCUAAAAUUUAAAUUUACUCCAUCUUACUCGUUAUUGUAUACAUACUUACGUAUAAAAUUCAUCUCACCUCCUGACUGAUGUUAUUUUCUAAAACAAUUUUGCCCUACUAACACAUUUUUUUGUUAGUUGCUUGCCCGUUUAUCUUAUCCAUCAUUGUCUUCAUAAUUUUCCUACAACAUUUCAACCUCCUUUCUCCACUCUAGCCUGGUAACACUUUGAUGCACUUUGUUCUGAAAGCCAAUCACCAUCAAUAUGAAAAACCCAUUCUCUUACUCAUGCAUGCACUCUUCCUUCCAACUGUUAUAGCCAUUACAUGGCUCCCGCGCAUGUGUUAUUACAUUUUUCAUUAUGUCUGUCAUUCUUUCUUUCAACGUUGCAAUCUAACUUUUCAUAAUGGUGAUUCUUCUCAUUAGCACAGCUUCAAAUUACUUGCACAUGAUCUUAUGCUUUAUUACACUCGUCCAAGCCAUUUUAACGUACCCAAUACUUCACUUAUUCCACCACCUUCCCUACAUGCUAAUGACAAUAAGGGGCCUUUACAGUUGCACCCACUGUGCAAUUCGUACAUCGGUUGUGCUUUUUCUGCAUGGUGUUAUACGUUCACAAUCCUUAUUGCAUUAAAUUAUUUGGUUUGUCUACAAGAAAAAAAUGUAAAUAUACAGUCAAUCAUGAUGUAUAAUGCCCAACAACCGCACAGACCAUCCCGACCGUACUAACACUUCUCCAAUUACAGACUACUCUCACAUUUUUCGAAUGCUUGUCUCUUUAUACUUGUCCGGCUAUCUAAGUUAUCUCCAAGGUUACAAACCCUCGACUGUUCAUUGAACCGAAAAAUUCACCAGGUCAUGAAUCACUGGUUCAAUCAUUGGAUUGGCCAUUUUUGUUCUGUGACAUCAUAAAUAAACAAAAAUGAAUUAUAUAUUACUACUUUUAUCACAUGUAAUAUGCACAUCCCACCAUAGAGCUUUAGACACAUGAUCAUAACUAUUGUCCUUUUGCUAAUAAGUGUAUAAUAAAGCAAACUAAAAGAAAUGCAUAAAAUAAAAGAAAGAAAAAAAAGCUAUAAUUAUAUUAAUAUGACAAGCUUGACACCAAGAAAACAAGAAUCUUACUAUAGAAAAUGAGUAAAUUACAAAGUAAAACAAAAAAAAUCAUAGAUUAGGAAAUCAAACCUAUGCAUAUGGUUUAGGCACAACAUUGAACUUUGUAGGAGGAAUUUGGGAGACUACUGGUGAGAUGAUGAAGAGAGGGGCGAUUAGGAAGAGAGAAACUUGAAGAAAAUUAGGUAAAAAUUAGAAAUAAAAGAAAGGGAGAAGAUUGGAGUCUUGUGUCUUGACUUGAGUCAACUAUAUGUUGUGGCUAUCUAAUUAGUUACUAGGUUAUAUAUUUUUUUUUUUACUUUUUGUCCUUUUUUUUAUAUUUUGAACAAUUGAAUGAACCGGACUAGUUUAAAAAAAUCUAUCUCAAUUUGACGGUUGGUUUUCAUUAAAUAAAGCGCUUUUUUAGCCCCACUAGGUUUGAAGCAUAACCCAACUCGAACAGCAACCCAACAACAGUUCAACUGGGCAGUUUGAGUUGGGUUUUAUUUCAUUACCUUACUCUCCCAAUCUUCUAUCUCACUAUUUUGCCCACUUUUGGUCCUAUUUUUAAUUUUAUUGGUAUUACAUCUUCAUUACAUGCAAAUUUGUUUCCUAUAAUUCCCUUUUUGAUAUGAGCAAGAAAGCUAAGAGGGUCACUUGGAACUUGGUGCAUGCAAUUCAAGUUCAAGUUGGAACUUAUCGAAGCAUUGAAGGAAUCGAAUGCCCGAUAAGUUUCAUCAAAAUCCUAAUUCACGUAUUAAUUUGCUUCAAGUUGAAAAUUGGGUGAGACGCGGGCACGCCUAACAUGCAUGAAAGCUUCUGGUUCGCAUGGUUCGAAGUCAAGAUAUUGUCCCAAAACAUAUUGAAGGACUUGAGAAUGGAUAUUGGAAGUGUGUUCAUCUCAUUCAAAUGGUGGAAGAGUCACAUUUAAUGCUCGAGUUAUGUUGAUGUUUAGGUCUUGAGUCAUCACAUAUUGAAGGACUUGAGAAUGGAUAUUGGAAGUGUGUUCAUCUCAUUCAAAUGGUGGAAGAGUCACAUUUAAUGCUCGAGUUAUGUUGAUGUUUAGGUCUUGAGUCAUUAUGUUAUUUUCCAGUAUUUUAGUGUUAAUUUAGUCAUUAGUUAGUAAUGAAAUAAUCGGCCAAGUUAAGCCUCAAGUAGGACCGACUUUAGGGUUUUCUUUUCUUCCUAAAUUUUGUAUUUUGUUGGUCUUUUCAAAGUCAAUUUAGGAAUCUUGUAUUAUUUUCAAUGGAUUAGUCUUAGUAGUUAAGUUUUAGCUAUAAAUAGGCUUCUUCCAUUCCAUUGUAUGACAACUUUUGGAGAGAUGAAUUAAUAAAAGUGAGUUGUUCACCUUUUGACAGGUUGUCGAGCCUAUAUAAUAAUAAAUUUCUGCUCAAAAUAAAUACAAAUUUUGUAUAAAGUGGUAAGCAGGGUCGAAUCCACAGGGAUUGGGUGAAAUUAAUUUCUUCUAGAGUUCAGGAUAUGGGGGAUUUUAUAAAAAAACUGACAAUAAACUACACUACUUGAAUAUAAUAAAUAGCUAGAAGUUAAAUGGCAAAUUAUAAAGACUCAAAUAAUAUUGGACAAACUCUAUCCAAGAAACAACUCCGGAAAUGAUUCUCCUAAUUGAUCAUCGAUGCAAGAAUAAUUCUACUUAUAAAUUGAUAAACAAAUUAUAACUGCCAAACAAGCGGUGACAGUCAAUUUCUCCUUAUAUUAUCGAUAGCCAAGGUACGACCGCUAGGUAUUCCCUAAUAGCGAAAUAACCCUAAGUACGACCAUAGAGUUCAAUUUCCCAAUCGCCUUACGAAUUAGAGAAAUCCUGUUCUAAUUAAACAACACGCUACGAGGGUUGUUUCAAAUUAGCCCGUAUAUUUUCCUGACACAAAUCCAAUCAUGCCAGUUACCACUGAUUUAAAACAAAAUUAAACAAUUACAGAUUUAAUUAUUCUAAUUGGUUUUAGGUUAUUAAAUUAAUCUAAAAUCGGGACCCAGGAUAAUUGAAUAAUACAACAACCAUAAGAACAUAAGGCAGGAAAUAUACGAAUACCAGAAAAUAAUAGAAAAAAGUAAAUCAGUUUGAUCUCACAAUUUAAGUUGAAUUAUGUCCUCCGUUGUUCCUUGAUUAGAAAUAAAAAUUUAGUUCAUCUUCGUUGAGGAAGUCCUACGUAAAAUUGCAGAAAUAAUUGUUGAAUGCAUCGUCUCCGCAAUUGAGAUGAUGAAGUCCGAUGGAAUAAUAAGAGAACAAGACAAAAGAGCAAGUCUCCAAUCAUCUCUUUUUUCCCCAAAAAACUUCUGGCGGCUGACUUUUCCAAAGGCUAAGUCCUAAAAACAAAAGUCCUAGUCUUAGUUGACUUUACACUAGACUACUCAACCGCAACCAAAAAGAAAGGGAAUCUACUAAUUGGUAAGUUUCGCAAAACUACUAUUGUUAAUUCAAAUCAAACAAUCAACUAAUGGAAUAGUUGGAGCUCCACAUUGCACUUCCAAUUGUUAAUUGGACAUCACGCGUCAUUCCCGAGCUUCCUGGACAUGCUAAACCCUAAGUUGAUGCGGGCACGCCAAACAGCAAAUGUAGUGAGAAAUUUGCAUCUUUUUACCACUCUUUGUUCCAACUCCCUGUGAUCAGCACAAAUUUCCAAAAAUGAAUAGAAUCUGCCAAUUAAUGCACAUUUGAUAAGAUAAUAAGAGGGAAUUAAUUAUAAAAUAAAUGACAAAAUUGCGACUUAUCAAUUCCCUCCACACCUAGACCAUACUUGUCCUCAAGCAUGAGAACAACAAACCAGCACCAACUACCAACAAUGGUUAUCACUCCAUCUGCCUAUUGCCAAGAUAUCAUGAAAAACACACAUCAAGCAUCAACGGCCGAGAUUCAAGAAACAUUCCCUUAGUUAGCUUCUACCCACAGACUCCUCCAAUUUAUGACUAACUAUUCUAAGAAGAUAGAAUAUUUGAUCACCAAUUAUCAGCAAACGGUCCAACUAUUAAUCAAAAUCUAAACAUUAAACCCAUAGAUCGGUAAGCCAGCUUUAAACACACAAUUUCCAUGUCAUGUUUCACACACACACACACACAUACACACACACUCUCUCUCUCUCUCUCUCUCUCUCUCUCUCUCUCUCUCUCUCUCUCUCUCUCUCUCUCUCUCUCUCUCUCUUUAUUCAUUUACUUUCCUUUCAUGCUAUAGUUUAAGAUUAUUGAAAACUAAACUAAUCUCUUCAUACGUGCAAAUUUUGUUUUUGUUCCAAUACAACUAAAAUAAAUAGUUUAUGUCAAGAAAUUUAUACCUUAUAAAAAUUUAACCUUAUUUUAUUUUUUAUUGUUGUUAUAAAUUUCUUAAGUAGGAUAACAUAAGCAUAGUUUUGGAACAAAAGUUUUAUCUUUCUUGUAUUUCCUCUAAAGGAGUUAAAAUAUUACAAGAAAUGUCCAUCCAAGGAAGAUAAACGAGAUUUUAAAAACCUCAGGGGAGUUUUUUUUUUUUUUUCUAAAGCACCAUAUCAAACAUUUUUAUAACACACACACACACACACACAUAUUUAUAUUUAUAUUUAUAUUUGUGUACCAUUGGUGGCAGUUUAGAACGGGCUCACCACUUUGGGCAAAUUUUCUACGGGCUAAAUACUGCAGAGAUCUUCACCCAUGUCAGGUUGAGUUGAGUCGACAGGCCUCGGGGACAUGGCGGAGGAUGUUCAGUGUCAGUCAGCAAGUGGAGUUGUCUUUGGUCUGGCUGAUCCAGGAGGGAACUUGUCAUUUUUGGUAUGAUAACUGGCUGGGAACUGGCACAUUGUUUCUUAAAACCACAGUGCAUCCAACCCUCUUUUUCAAAGAUUUUAUUACAAAUGGGAAGUGGGAUGCAAGUUUGCACUCCUGGGUCAUUACUCUUGACCUUCUCCCUUCAGUUUUACAUCAUCCGAUUCCCCAGCAUGGGCGUGCGGAUGAGGUCAUUUGGAGCUUGUCUUCAUCUAGCAAAUUCUCUUUAUCAUCGGCGUUCGAGGAGAUACGGCAAGCCAAAGCUCCUCGUUUGUUCUCUCUCACAUUUGGCAUUAUCGCAUUCCGACAAAGGUGUCCUUCUUCAUGCUGCGCUUGUUGCUCGGACGACUGCCAAUCCCAGACAUUUUCGGUAAGAUGGGAUUUCAUAUGCUUUCCAAAUGUUUCUGCUGUCAUAAUGGAGCAAAUGAGACAUUGGAGCAUCUCUUCUCAGAGAGAUAGAUCGCGAUGGAGGUAUGGAACUAUUUUACUGGCUUAAGUGAGCUCCAGACUGUCGUGUUAACUUUGCGGGCUCGUGUAGUGGCUUGGUGGAUGGUGGGUCCAAGAGCUGAGAAAAGGCACAUACUCUUCAGGAUUUUGCCUUGUUAUAUUUGUUGGCACAUAUGGAAGGCAAGGAACUAAGCAAUAUUUGAGAGGACUCGGAUAUGCGCGGUCACUAUCCGACAAGUCAUUAUGUCAGACGUUGCGGCAGAACUGGAAAUUCAUUUUGAUUAUAGGCUGGGAAGGGUCACGUUUCCCCAACUAUAUGACUGGUCGGGUCAACAAGCGAGCGGCGUCAGCUAUCAAAUUGUACGGUGACAGGCAAAGAAACAGAGAGGUUUAACGCUGAAUGCGGACGGGUGUUCCAAAGGCAACGCAGGUUGGAGUGGUAGGGGAGGGAUAUUGCGGAAUUCUUUGGGCAGCCCGGUAUUCGCUUACUCUGCAUUCUUUGGGAGAAGAUCCAGUUUACACGCGAAAGCUCUGGCAAUGCUAACAGGGCUGCAGCUAUGUGUAGAGAAGGGUUUCAGCAGUGUUGACAUCCAAUCGGAUUCUCAGGUAUUGGUAGGGAUUGUACAACGCCGCUUUCGAUGCCCAUGGCAGAUUCGUCGAGAAAUAGAGCAGAUCUGGUAAAUGGUGGGAGAUGUGACGCGGGUUUCUCAUUGUUUCCGAGAGGCUAAUCGUGUGGCGGACAUUCUGGCUAACGAGGGUGUUUAUCAUCAACAACAUGCCUAUACUGUCUAUGAGCAUAUCCACAGUUAUCCAAAACUAGCUAGGGGGAAUCCUGCCUGGAUAGGCUAGGCAUGUCAGCGGUUAGGGGGACAUCAAGGGGGAGAGAUUGACCGCUGAUAUUCAAGGAUCAUCCUUCAGAUUAACUGGAAGAGCUGAAGUUGAAAAGGAAAGAUUUAAUCUUAGUUUCAAAUCUUAAAUGCUUAAAAUUUUCACUAUGAUGUAAAUUUGUUGUUGAAUUGUGGGUUGCUGGCAGGAAGUUUUGUCCCUUUAUAAGGAGAAACGCUGCCAAAAUUUUUAUAAAAAAAAAAAAAAAAAAGUGAGCAUCUAAAAAAAAAACCUCAAGGGAGUUGAGUGAUAUUAUGAGAAAUCUCGAGGGAGGUUUAUGAAAUUAUCUCUUAAAUAUAUUUAAUGACUCACCGGUUGGACCACUCACCACUAGUUGAACCAGUAACCCGUUUACUCACCUCUUUUGCCGAUUCCUCUCCGAGUCGGGUUUAAUAACUAUGGUAUAAAGUAUUAAUAUCUACAUAUAUAUGCAGAUUAAAGAGUCGGACCUAUAUCAAAUUUUAGUUUAAUAAGGCCUAAUCUCGAUUCACAUUUAAUUGAAGUAAUAUUUAGACCCAAAUUUAGCCCAAUUCAAUGGAAGGUUAGGCUCAUCGGGCUUUCUCUUGAUCCAAGUGGACAUAACUUAGGCUGAUUUGACUCCACUGACAGUCCUAAUUGGGACUUCCAUUGUAUACUUUUUGCUGACAUCACCAAAAUAAACAGUCAAACAUUUAUUGAUUAGUAGUAAAUGGGUAUUUGUUAUAGAUUUAUAAGCUUUAAGGUUGGUUUCAUAAUUUCGCCAAAUCUCAAGGAUAAUUUGGUAGUUUGGCUGAAUCUCAAGGGAAGUAAAUAUAAUUAACCCUAAGAUUUAAAACCCCGUAGUUAACUAUUACAACUGGCCACUGGCCAUUUGAUCCAGUGGUCAUCACCCUCUGUGGUGAUGCUGGAAGUCAGGGGUUCUACCCCUGUCUCCCUCAAAUUUGCCACAAUAUGUGGCUGGUCUUAGUUGACCAUCUCCCCUUACCCCUUCCCCCUAGAUUAAGCUAGUUUAGGUUAUAGGACAUCUUCCGUUGCCACCAAAAAUAAAUAAAUAAAUACACUACUACAACUGACUGUUCCACUAUAUAGCGCUUAGUUAUACCUUUCGAUGUUUCCUCCACCGUCUAGCUGUACCCAAAUCCACAUUACUAUAUAUUUGCAUGGGAAAUUAUAAUUGGGCACUCAUUAACAUGGAUAAGAAAUAAUCUGCUUAAUUAAUGCAUUAAUUAUUUCAGAUUUUGAAAAACUAUUUUUAAGGAAUUCGCAUUUUAAAUGACAUACCUAACCUUUUUCCUAAAAAUAAAUGUCACAAAUAUUUUGCUAGCACUUAGGAAAGCAAUUUAGAACUAUGAAAAUUUUAGCUCAUAUUUAAAAUCUUCAAUGAUUUGAGAAAAUAUAUUUAAGACAAAACCAAUGCAAAAUCCCAGAAAGAAAUUAUCAUUUCAAUUGAAAACGUUCUUGUAUUGGAAGUUCGAACCAUUUUAGCUAUCAAUGUGGUUUCACAUUAAAAUCAUUAAUUUAGUUUUGACUAGAGUUGUCAAAAGUCUUGAGAAGUGUGUCAAGUUUAUUUAUCAAUUAAAAGAGAAAGAAUACCCAGUAAACCAAACCAAUACAAUUGGUUUAAUUAAGAGAAUUUGUUUAAAAUUCACCCAAAGAGUACUUUCUUGUUUGUUGAUUUUUUUUGAAUUUUCCUUUUUUAACAAGUCUUAAAAAGUUUAUUAUUCUAUGUUUUCUUCCAAAAUAAAUUGUAUUUUUUUCCUUUCAAUUUAUCAUGUUGUGGAGGAUAAAAUGUCCCAAGUUCAUAAUUGUUUUCCCUUUUUUUAGCCAUAAAAGUCUUGAUUUAGAAUUUGGAAACCUACCAUCUCUUUGUAGUUGAAAAGAAAUAAAAAUAUACAAAUAAGUUACUUUAGCAACCUUGACAGUGUUAAAAGCGUGGUAAUUUUGUGAUUUUCUCCAUAAAGUAUUUGGAACAAAAUAACAUUUUACUGGAAAAAAUUUGGGAGAAGGCGGAGGAGCAAGAAAUUAAAUUGUGACAUUUAAUUUCAGAGGAUUAAUUUCUCAGACAGGGCAGAUUCGAGAAGCAGUUAACCAUAGUAGAAGAUUUCAAGUUGAGAGUAUGCAUGUUUUCAAGCUUUGAACAAGAAAAGAGAAUUAUUUUACAGCCUAGACAACAUUUCGCUACCCAAGGGAAGGCACAUUAUUUAUUUACUUUUUCCCGUAUUCAAGGAAGGCACCAUUAAUUAUUGAUGAAAUAGAAAAUUUCUUGUACAGAAAUCUGGUCGGUCCGUUUUAAUAACAUAAGGCGGGCAUGACGAAGAUCAUCGCAUACCGCACUACUAAAACCUAUGAAUCAAGACUGACAUUAUUGCUUUUUUAAUUGGAGAGAAAUUAAUUAACGGUGAUUAAGCCACGUACGUAUUUCUCGAAUGAGGAAAUCUUUGGCAGUUGCUUUAUUAUAUUUUGAUAAUAAACUGUGUAAUAAGGCCUGAAACUGCAAUUGAGAUUCUCGGUGACAUGUUUUCUAUACCAAUUCAAUAUCACCAAUAGUAUGGUGCCAAGUGUCAUAUUAUUAUUUACCCUUGUGUUAAAUCAAGCCAAAUUAAAUUAUUAGAAAAUUAAAAUGUAAAUAAUAACAUGACACUUGGCACAACAUUAUUGGUGGCACUGGGUUGGCAUAGAAAACAUGUCAUCGAGGAUCUCAAGUGCUGAAACUGCAGCUAAAACUAGAUCUCAAACCAUUAUGUCCAGUCUAAAGUGUAUAUAAAAAAUAAAAUGGUAAAAAUUAAUAAGCAAUUAAUCAAAUAUAAACUGUAUGGUAAAGUAGUGAUACUUUUUUUUUUCGUUUAAUCCAAAAGACAAAAAACGGAAAGGAUCCAUGAGAAGUGAGAAUAUGUAAUCUGCAAUAUUACAUAUCAAAGUGAUAGGAUCAUCAAAAAAAAAAUUUUUUUGACUUAGUAAUGCCUUGUCUUUUGCUUUUCUUUUAUUUCUCUUUCAUGGUGAAAUAGAAGGAGGAAAAAUUAAAUCCAAGAAAAGGGUCGAAAGUCCGAGACGUUACAAUAGGUUUUCGAAAACUUGCGGAAUAGCAAAUGGAUCUGCAUUCAAGAAAAUGAGUGCAAAAUUCAAGAAAAUGGAUUCGCUAAAUGAAGUCAACUACAAUAAAUAAGAUAAUGCAGAAGUACGAAAUAUUUUUUAAAAAAUUUAAGAAGUGGACUUUGUUUAGUUUCAAUAAGAAUUAAGAUAAAUAAAUUACAGAAGUUGUUGCGUGUAGAUUUGGUUAGGUAGACGAGAUGCAAUAAUGGAAUACAAAAACAGAUGUUGUUAGCAUCAAAGUUUACUUUGUGCAUUUUUUUUAUUUUUAUAUGAGGAUAGGGCACACAUUAAAAUAAAAAAUUUCAAGUUUAUAGCAUCGAAGUUUUACUUUGGUUUACCAAAAGGGUUAUUAUCACUUUAUCCCCUUAAACUAUAUCAUUACUAUCAGUUUACCCUUUAACAUAUUGUUUAGUCACUUCACUUCCAUAGUUAAUUCAACUCAGCAUAUUAACAAAUUUUGAACAAAAAUAGCCUUUUAUUGUAUAAUAUUACUACAUUGUUAUUAUCACUUUGUCCCUUUAAAUUAUAGUGAUACAAUUGCUUUACUCUCCAACAUUAUUUUCUAGGUGUUUUAUCCCAUUGUUAACCUAAACAAUACGUUCAAAAUUUUUUAAUGUAUUUACCCUUUUUAUGUAUAAUUACAAAUAAAAAAUUUGGAAUAGUUAUUCUUCCUUUUUCACUCUAGAGUUCCAAAACAUAAAAAAAUAAAAGGGGUUUUUCAAAUUUCUUUUUUUUACGUUUAUUAAUACUAGGAAAAGAAAAGGAGAUAGAAAAUUAAAUUUUAUAAAGAAAGAAAAUAAGGAACAAUCUAAUAUUAUCGUAUUACUUUAACAUCGUCAGGAUUAUGACUGGAAUUGGGUGAUAAAUAAAAAAAUAAAGUAUACCUAACUUUUUCUUAUUUGUAUUUUUUAAAAAAAAAAAAGAAUAGAGCUCUCUCUCUCUCUCUCUCCCCCUUCCUACCUUUCUAUUUUUUUAAUAUUAAUAAGAUGCCAAAAAGAAAGAGAUUAAUGCUUUAAUUUUUUUCUUGAUACAAAAAAAGGAGAAGAGUAACUCCAAAUUUUUUAUUAUUUUUAUUCUACAAAGAGGUGGGUACUUCUUCUAAAAUUUUUUAAUUUGUUAAGCUACUUUAAUGGUGGAAUAAAUUGCCUAAAAAAUAACUUUAUGGGUAAAUUAAUAAUAAGGUUAUAGUUUAUGGAGGUAAAGUAAUAAUAAUUUUGACCAUUAAUCUUAGGGAUAAGGUGACUAAAAAGUAACAUUAAUUGUUUUACUCCAUAUAUAUAUAUAUAUAUAUAUAUAUAUAAACACACACACAUAUGUAUGAACGGAUUAACUCUGCAGCAUAAUAUUCCAUUGAGUACACAGAUAGUAGCUAAAGAAUAGGUAACAUGGGAACAAUUGAUAUUUCCCCUAGCAAAAUUCAUAUUCUUGCUUUCCCUUUUCCUGCAAAAGGUCAUAUAAAUCCUAUGUUACACCUCUGCAACCGCCUGGCUGCGAAACAUUUCAUGGUUACACUGAUUACCACAGCUUCUACAUUCAAGUCUGCUAAAACCAAAGCCAUCAGCUCCAUCAAGAUCGAGUGUAUUCCGGAUGACUCCGAUGAACUCGUUGAAGAAGAUGCCAAAGGCUAUUUCACAAGGUUCAGAGCUGCUGCUUCCAAAGGCUUGGUGGAACUGGUUGAUAAAUAUAGAAAGACAGAUCCGUUUCCUCCCAGAUUGGUGAUUUAUGACUCAACUAUGCCUUGGGCUCUGAACUUAGCUCAUCAGAUGGGACUUCGCGGAGCUUCUUUCUUUACUCAAUCUUGUGCUGUUUGCGCUCUUUUCUACCAUAUGGACCAAGGAACAAUACAGCUUCCUCUUGAUGAGUCUGUUACUGUAAAAUUGCCUUCAAUGCCAGCACUUGAAAGCACUGAUCUUCCUGAUCUCCAGUACUUCCCUGAUCCAGAUAGUGUUGUCACGAGGCAUCUUCUUGAUCAGUUCUCGAACAUUGACAAAGUUGAUUUCAUUCUGUUCAACACUUUCGAAGAAUUGGAGGAGGUAAGUUGGAAAUGCUAAUUAUAAUCCAGUGAAUACAUCAUUGAUGGAUUUUUUUAGCUGAUAAUUCAUGUAACUUUGUCAAACUAUAUGAUAUUCCUGGACGGCCAUAAGCAAAAUUUAAUCAUGUGGAAAAUUUUCUUUUUUGUUUUAAAGAAAAAAUUGAUUUCGGAUGACUAGUUUGUGCUAGCUUUGUCAAAUAGGAUAUUAUAAUCAGCAAUUAAUUAACGUUGUACAAAAGCUGGAUUGAGGGAUUUUUUUAUAGUUUUUUGGUUAGGCAUGUCAAUUAAAUCAUCUGAGUCGGGUUUCAACAAACCCAAACUUGGUUUAUAUAGUUAGUACCACUUUCAAAUUUCAAGGUAAGAGUUUCGGGUUGAUAAAUGUGAAUCUCAUAUUUGAUUCAUAAAAUAUUCGGAUUGUAAGUCUAAUUCGAGUUUAAGCCAAACUCACUUAUUACUCUUUAAUUUCUUUAAUAUAAUUACUAUGACUAUUAAGUUCUAAAGUUAAUUUAACAUCCACUGGACCAUAAUAUUAAAACUAUACAAGAAACAGUAACAAUUCAUUAGAAAGUGUAUAAAGCAAGAAAUUUCCAAUAACAAUAAAUUGAGUUAGUUCAAAGUACGUGAAAAAUAGUAACUAAAUAUGAUCAAUAACCAAUACAUUUUCAAAGACCCCAAUUUGCUUGUACUAAGAUUUGCCCUUUUGAAUCUUUUGACAUAAUUUUGUAUAUUUAAUAUUUCUUAUAUAUAUUAAGAUAUUUUGACACACCGCUCAGAUGUAUUAGUGACAUAUAUAUAUAUCAAAAUAUGAAUAUAUUAUAUAUAAUUAUAUAUAUAUAUGUGUGUGUGUGUGUGUGUGUAGAUUAAAGAGUCGGGCUGAUAUAAUUCGGGUCCAAUAGUUAGGACCAAACUCAAUCUAGUUCAAUGAAGCUCGUCAAAUUUUGUCUCGGGUCGAGUUCAAACUAGCCUGACCCGUUGGUAGUUCUAGAUUUGGUACCCUAAAUUCUCUGAUAGGCUGCCAAAUGUACCAAAAGUGAAAUUUUGGCUAGUCUCCAAAUAUUGUGCCAAUUGGGGAUCCUUUAAUUAUUUAUUUGCUUUUCUUUUUCCAAAGAAAUGAUAUUGCUGGUUUUUUUAUCAAUCGUCACCAUCUACUCUAUUUUUACUUCUACUCCUAUUCUAAUCUAUUCUGGGGGUGACCCAAUUGAUUCAAGGGAAACUGGUAGGAAUUGAACCACCAUUGAACUAUACAGGUCUACUAUGCACCCAUAUAUGGCUUUGAAGAAACCACAUUAGUGGUAAAGUAAUAGGAGACAAGAUUUUAACUCUUAACCUCUCAUCUCCACAAAGAUUUAAGUCUUUUGUGAUGGCCAACUACUGUAAUGACGGUUAAAGAGGAGGGGUGCAACACAAGUACAUUGUAGAGGGUCACCUAUCUUAGUAUUAUUCUCACCCAAUCAUGCUUAACUUCAGAGUUCUAAUGAGAUCCGGUACAAAAGCUGGAUUCAGAGAUUCUUGAUUUGUAUUCUUAAAGCUAGAUUCAGAGAUUCUUGAUGUAAGGUUCGUACUUGACUCAAAAAAUAUUCGGGCUGUGAGGCUAAUUCAGAUUUAGUCCAAACUCCUUAUUACUCAUUAAUUUUCUUAAUAUAAUUACUACACUAUUAAGUUCUAAAACUAAUUUAACAUCUAUAGGACCACAACAAACUAUGCAUGAAUUAGUAAUAGCUCAUUAAAAUGUAUAUAAACCAAUAAUUUUCCAGCAAUAAUAUAACCAAUUAGUUCAAAGUAUAUACAAAAAUAGUAAUAAAACAUUAUCAGCAAUUAAUACAUCUUCAAAAGUUCUCAAUUUGUUUGUACUAAGAUUUGUUCUUCUGAAUCUUUUAACAUAAUUUUGCGUAUUUAAUAUUUCUUAUAUGUAUUAAUAUAUUUUGAUAAAUAACUCAUAAAUAUAAAGUAUUAGUUUUAUAUAUUUAGAUAUACAUACACCAAAAUAUGAAUAUAUAUACCAAAUUAUAUAUUCCUUAUAUAUACCAAAAUAAUUAUACAUGUGUAUGUAUAUGUGUAUAUAUACAUAGAUGUAGAUUAAAAGGUCGAGCCUAUAUCAAGUUUAAGCCUAAUAAGGACCAAACUCACCUCACAUUUAAUUUGGAUAUAAAAUUUAGGUCCAAACUCAACCCAACUCGAUGAAAAAUUAGGCUUAUCAGGUUUUUUCUUGAGCUAGGGUCAGAUUAGGCUAACCCUAUUGACAGUCCUAGUUUUGGUAACCCCAAAGACUAUUAUCUAAUAGGCUACCAAAUAUAUCAAAAGUGAAAUUUUGGCUAGUCUCCAAAUGCUGUGCCAAUCUAUGAUUUUAAACUAGGACCGCACUAAUUGGUCCAACUGAUUGAAUCGAAAACCGACCAGUUAUUCAAUCUGAGCUUCUUUAAAAAACCGCCAGUCAAAGAUUUGGUCAAACUUAGUCAAAGACUGGGUUUUGAUUGAGUUUGACAGAGAAGCGGUAAAAACGGUUAGAAUUAGUUUUUUUUUUCCAAUUUUUUCAUUCUGAUGGUUUUUUUAUUGUGAAAAACAAGCACCACGAAAUAGAUUAAUCAAACGCAAAGUAGAAUUAAGUCACUGAGAGAGCAUUGUGUUUCGUCAGAAUCUCAUGCGACAUCCUCUUUACUAUAUUGAGGGAGUUUAAAAAAGAGUCCUAAGAAAGUGUAAAACUUCAAAAUACCCAAAUUAAAAAAAAAAAAAAAAAAAAAAAAAGAAACCGGGCUCAUUGCCAUUUUGAUGGCUUCUUUUCCUUCCUCCCUUUUUUUUCCAUUCUUUUGAUCUUUGAAUAGCGUAAAGAAUUAGUGUCAAACGAAGUUAGAUACCCAGAUUAAGAGAAAAUUUUCAUUCUCUAAAUUCACUAAGCUCGAUUUCAUGCAACUAAGUUUUGAAAGAUUUGAAAUCAAAUAGGAGGAGAAAAGGAAAAGAGCAAAGAAGGGAAGAAAACAGAGAGGAGGGAAAAAGGAAAAUAAUGAAAAAAAAAAGAGAGUUUUUGUAUGCGUUUGAUUUGUGUGGGAUAAAAGAAAAGAAUAGAUUUGUGGACCUUAUGAUGCAGAGAAAGAGGAAGGAACAAAGAAGAAGAAGCAAUGACAAGAUGAAAAGGAAACGAAGAGGCGGCCAACAGAAAGGAUGCAUUCGGUUUAGCAUUUAUUAGCUUUAGAUGCCCCAAAAAAUUUUUUAUAAGUUCAUUUUGACCCCACAUUGUUUUAAUAAAUUAUAAAAUUAACCUAUUUCAUUUUCUAAAUUACAUUUUUUACCUAUAACUUUUAAAUUUUUUAAGUGGAACCCUUUUAUUUAGGCUAAAUCUAAACUCAUCAAUUUCAAAGGAAUUUUUAUAUAUUAUAUUGAUUAUAUAUUAUUUGUAGAUAUUUAUGACGCAUUCAUGAUAUCAUUUAAUUUGACUCUCGUACUAAUCAAUCGAAUCCAUCGACCCCUAAACUCUACCGAAUCACUAUCUAGUUCAAGUUUCAAAACAUAGGUGCCAAUAGGGACCGUUUAAUUCUUUAUUUACUUCUCUUUAUCCAAAGAAAUUACAUUGCUGAUUGAUUGACCAAAUGUUGAGUCAAACCGUUCACCACUUUUCUGAUUUUCAGCACUUGUUAGUCAUGUUACUGUUACUUUAUUUAUCAGGUAGCAAAAUGGAUGGCAGAAAGGUGGACAAUUAAGACAGUUGGACCAACAGCUCCACUACUUUUUGUAGACAAGAGACUGCAGAAUGGAAAUGAUCAACAAGGGAACUAUCUGUUUGAGACAAACGCUGAAGCUUGCUUAAAAUGGUUGGACGAAAGAGAAACAUGUUCUGUAGUUUAUGUAUCGUUUGGGAGCAUAGCAGCGCCCGAUAAAUAUCAGAUCGAGGAAGUGGCAGAGGCCCUCCUGAGGAGCAACUGCAAAUUCCUUUGGGUAUUCAGAGAAGAAGAAGAGAGUAAGCUGCCAAAGAAUUUCAAGUCUGAGUCUUCAGAGCAAGGCCUAAUCAUAAACUGGUGUCCACAACUUGAGGUUCUAGCCCACCGGGCGAUCGUGUGCUUCAUGACUCAUUGUGGAUGGAAUUCAACCAUUGAAGCUCUGAGUGCAGGCGUGCCAAUGAUAGCAGUGCCACAAUGGAUUGAUCAAACUACAAAUGCUAAGUUUAUUGCUGAUGUAUGGCAAACGGGGCUGAGAGUGAAGCUAAAUGACAAAGGAUUUGUCGGAAGAGAAGAGUUUGAGUAUUGUAUCAGAGAAAUUACUGAGGGUGAAAGGGGGACGGAGAUCAGAAGAAAUGCUAAGAAAUGGAAGGAAUUGGCCAUACAGGCAGUAGGAGAAGGUGGAAGUUCUGAUAGGAACCUUGAAGAUUUUGCGACCUCACUUUUGUGCCUACCAUAAUGCGUUCCUGCUCUCUUGGGAGUUUAUGGAUGGAAACUAUCUGAACUAAGAAUUCUGUAUAAGUAUUUUAAUAAUAAAACGAGGACAAGAUUUGAGCAAAGUAAGAUAUUGGGAAGCUUCUACUUCUCAAUAAAAGAUCAUUCUAAAUACUAUUUUCCUCGCAUUCAUUUCUUUCUCCUAUAUUUUGUUUUCUUUGAGUAAGGUAAGAUAUUGGGAAGUUUCUGCUUCUCUUGGUUGUGCAGAUCAAAGGGAAGCAACAAGUCAACAACUAUAGAGUUUGGCCUGUUGUAUCCUGGAGGCGGCGCGCUAAACCUUUUGCAUCGGUUAAAAAAAUACCGUACGGAUGCGUAUCAUCUUAAAGAGAGCAUUCUAUACGCCUCAAUCCUACCAAACUUUUUAGUAGCUGUCAAAUUCAAGGUGGUUGGAUUAAAGAUCAGAAGUUGUUCGUGUACUCUCUUCCAAUAAUUUUAAGAUCUAGUCUGCACAUCAACCCAUGUCAAAUUAACUUUUGAUGGUACAAAUUAUUUGCAUUUAUUAAUGCAAUAUUGAGGUAUGAGAUUUUUGUUUAUUUCUUUGUUAAAUUUUAUCAGAGAAAUUACUCUUACUUAUAUGAUUAGUUUGGUCUAGAACCAACAGAAUCUAUAAUUGUUUAGAAGGAUUUAGAGUAUGCUUCUUUUGUAGGAGAAAUUUUAUGUUCGCCACUUGUUAGUUUGUUUGGAUAGUAGAUUAUUUGGAAUAAUUUUUAAAAAUAUAUAUGUCAUAAUACUUUUUUUGAUAUGAUGUACGUGAAAUAAAAGAGCCAUCUUACCAAACUCAUGUUAAGAACAGAUUCUGGGGAGUUAAAUUAUUUAUAUUUUUUGGUAAAAAUACCUCCACAAUGAAAUAUUUGUGACAGGUGCAAAUGGUACGUCCAAUAACAAAUGGUCAUUGAUAAAAUACAAUAACGAAUGAACCAAAACACGUGCAUGAGAUAUCAGUUUAGAAGGUAGUGAUGCUAAAUUCAGCGACAACUAUGAAAAUUGAGUUUCUUUUCUCGCUAUUGUGCAAACACUAACGAGUUUUUUUCUCUUUGUUUCAUUCGAUUGGAUAAAAAAAAAAAAAGUUUAGGAGGAGAACAAAGGUUAAUUUACCAUAAGGUUAGGGCCGAUGACAAUCCCUUAAGCUUAGUUAUAAUUAUUUCUUUACAGAUCGUCUAUCAGUUUAAAAAAAAAAAAAAAAAAAAAAAACACAGACAAAGAUUAAUUAAUGCACUGCUCAUACAUCUCACGAUAAUAUGAAGACGACAGCAGAAAAUUUAAUGCAGAAAUGUUUCACAUCCUUUAGAUCGAUCUUGGGAUCCCAAAUAGUCUUUUAAUAUUGUUAAUUAGUUGAUGCAAUUAACUGCUAAUAUUUGAGGCUCAAUGAUAUUCUAGAACCACAUCCAUGAGUAGAUAUCUUGGCGACAAUAUUUGUAGACAACCAGAACAAAUAGCAAAAGUAUUCUACAAAAACAACUACUAUAAGCUGGAUGAAGGAGAAAACGCCGCACAAGGCCGGCGUCCCAAUCAAAAGGAGUAUGAACAUAAAAUACUGGGCGUGGGAAGGACGGCGUAAUGGAGAAAUAAAAUAAUCAAGUGGUUCGACCGAUCUCACUUAUUAACCCGAGAUUGAUUGGGUCUUUUUUUUUUUUUGGCCCACUUUUGGUCCGAUUAUUAAUUUUGUUGGUAUUACAUUUUCAUUACAUGCAGAUUUAUUUCAUAUGAUUAUGAUUCCCCUUACGUUCCAUUAACUACUAACAUUGUAAGAUAAAUAUUGAUACCUACCAAACUAACAAUAUGCUAAAAUUUGAUCACUGAAGUUAUUUCUAAUGAUGGAAUUUAGGUCUAAAAAUGGAUCUCCUCGUGAUAGCCUUUCUUCGAGCACAAAUUUCUACUAGACCAGCAUGGCUGUUUCAGUAGGUGGUGGACUACAGUGAUGGAAGCUAGCACUAGAAGCGAGGGUAGCAAACAUAUCUCCCUAACAGCUAACAUCCUUUGGCAAAUUUGGAAAAGCAGAAAUGCGAAGGAAUUCAAUGCCAAGCAGCCACCCCCCCCCCCCCUAUGAGAACAAUGCAGACAGCUCAGGAGGAAUGGUUGGAAUAUGAAGAAGUAUUUGACAGAAACCUCAAGAACGAGCACAAAAGAAACAAGAGAUCAGGAGGAAUCCCCUCAGCAACAGGAAGAUAUCGAACGCAUCCUGAGACUAAGGUUCGCAAUAGAAAAGAGUAAAGACACUUCUCAAUUUGGGAUAGGCGUCACUGUCUCAAUGGGCAAUUAAAACAUGACACGAGGAUGGACUUUGCAGGAAAGAAGUUCUGGUCACCAAGUCAUGGAUGAGCUAACAGCAAUCAAACUACUGAUGUGUAAAGCUGCUGUCCAGAAGUUAGAGAAGAUUGAAGUGCAAAUUCAGAACAAGCUAACGUACAAUCUCCUCCAGCAAAGGAAAUCUCAGGAAAUGCGAAUGGCCACACCGAUGGAGGAUAUAUAUAGCCUUAAGUCUUUGCUUCGCAUGUGCUCCUUUUGCUUAGUAAAUAGGAAUCUUAACCAUAUUAGUCACAGGAUUAGCGUGCAAGUGCUAGACUUCAUCGAAGAUCAGGAAUUUUGGAUUCUUCAGUGUUAGUUUGCACUGAUUGUAUAGUUCCCUCAAGUCUUUAUUUGAAACUGUAACGGUUUAUUAUCUAUAAAAUCACAUAUCGUUUCAGAAAAAAAAAAAAAAAAAAAAAAAGUAGUUUGAGAAAUUGGCCUUGUAUGGGUUUCUGGUUGUGGCCUUAAUUAGUGCAUGUUCCUUUUCAUUUGUGCUAAUCUUUUUUUUUUUAUAUAUAUCUAUGUUCUCCUGAAUCCUGAUUAUGAGGACCAUUUCAAUUUAAAUUUAAUGAUAUUCGCUUGCUUUUUGAGUGAGAUGAGAAGAGGAUCAGCCAUAAUUUUUACUCCAGUGGCUGCUUCCAGAUUGCUUUUGGCCAAUUCAAAGGCUAGAAUUGCAUCGUAGCAAAGAAAACGAAUUUAGAGCAGUACUAUCGUUGAUUUCAGUCACUAGCAAUGGCGGUGGAUGACGAUCGCUGCCUAACCUACCGCUAGGGGUGGCAAUUUUCGACACGACCUGAAAACACGACACGAACCUAACACGAAAUUAAUGGGUUUGGGUUGAGGUUUUGGGAAUUCGGGUCAGAAUCGGGUUGGACCCGAUGAACCCGAAAAGAAAACAUGUCGAUUUCGGGUCAACCCGUGGUGACCUGAUAUGACCCGAUAUGACCCGUUUACGAAUUAAAAAUAAUUUAAUAAAUAUAAAAAUAAUUUUAUCUAACUAACCUAAGUUAUUCUUUUUUUCAAAGGCAUUAAUUACUUAAUCAUAAAUGAAUUUAUUUAAUUUGUGUGAAGUUGAAAUUAUUAUAUUUGGACAAAUAAUAUAUUAUAUUAUUUUUUACUUUUAUACUGUUUUAAUUUAUUUUAUAUUUUGUUUGGGAUAAAACACUUUUACGGUGUUUAAUUUAUUUUAGAUUUGGUUUGGAAUUACUUAUUUAAAUUUUUAUUACUUGAUUAUGUAAUUAGUUUUGUGAGAAAUUGAUUUUAUUAGAAAUUACAGUGAUAAAUUAAUAAAUUAAAAUUAAGUUUCGGGUCAUUUCGGGUCGACCCCGCCAACCCGUCAACCUGAAAUUUUCGGGUUCGGGUCAGCAUACCUGACCCGUCACGGGUUGGCGGGUCGGGUUCGGAUCAACAGAUUUUCUGGCGGGUUGACCCGAACCCGACCCGCCAACCUGAUUUGGACCCGAAUUGCCACCCCUACCUACCGCCCGGAUUCUAUCAUGGGCGCCGCCCUUUUUUCUUAGAUAAUAAGAGGAAGGAGAAGACAAAAAUAAAACAAGAAAAGAAAAGAAGAUGGCUUUUGAGGAUAUAUUGGAAUUAGAGUUGUCAAUCGGGGCCAUUUGAACCGAACUUUUUCAAAUUUAGACUCAAUUUAUAUAGUUAGUUUCACUUUUGGAUUUCAAGUUAUGAGUUUUGAAUUGAUAAAUGUGAAACUCAUACUUAGUUCACAAAAUAUUUGGACUGUGAGUCUAAUUCGGAUUUAGUCUAAAUUCACUUAUUGCUCUUUAAGUUCCUUAAUAUAAUUACUAUGACUAUUAAGUUCUAAAACUAAUUUAACAUCCAUAAGAUCACAACAUUAAAACUAUAUACGAACCAGUAAUAGUUCAAUAAAAAUUAUAUAGACCAAGAAUUGUUCAACAAUAAUAUAUCCAAAUUAGUUCAAAGUACGUGAAAAAUAGUAAUCAAGUAUGAUCAACAAUCAAUACAUCUUCUAAGGUUGUCAAUUUGCUGGUACUAAGAUUUGUCCUUCUGAAUCUUUUUGACAUAAUUUUGUAUAUUGAAUAUUUGUUAUAUAUAUUAAUAUAUUUUGAUACAUAACUCAUGAGUAUAAAGCAUUAAUAUUUUAUAUAUAUAUAUGUGUGCAAAUUAAAGAGUCGGGCCUAUAUCUGUUUUGAGUCUAAUAAGAUCCAAUCUCAAUCUCAAUCUCAAUUCACAUUUAAUUCGGAUCUAAUAUUUAGAACCAAAUUUAAUCCAAAUCAAUGAAAGAUUAUGUUCAUCCGACUCAAUCUCAUUGACAGUCCUCCUAGCAAAAGUUUCCCAAUCUCAUUGACAGUCCUCCUAGCAAAAGUUUCCCGUCAUCGGCUUUCUACUAAAGAAAUGGUUAGGAGAUUUUCUUCUAUUCUCUCAUGGAAAUUUGGAAAAUUAUUCCGGUUCUUAUAUUAGCCCUAACAAAAUAAUUGUAAGGAUGGCUUUUGCUUUCAGAAGUUAGAUUUGCGCUUACUUGCAUCAUUGUAUUUGUAUAUGAAUAAAAUUCAUGCGUACAAUAAAGUAAUAUUUAUUGUACAAUAGACUACGUAAAAUAUGUCACACAACUGCAUUGAAAAACUCCAAUUUGAUGAAAGUACACAACUGUAGAAGCAUAACGUAUUGAAUACAUCAACCUCACUCGGGAGAAAUAAGCUCCAAAUUUCUAUUUCCAUAGCCAGACAGCAGAUUUCUUUAACUUCAUUAUGAUCCCCUGAGCAAUCUGAAAACUGAGAACAACUAGUUGCUAGAGAGCUAAAACUACGAGACUCCAAAUUAGGAGCAGAUUGGCUGUGACCCAAGUGUUGAAAACUUAGAAUAGAUCGAGCCCAAACAUUCAAAUAGUCAGAGAAAAUCUUCUGCCGCCUCAAUAUUGCUCUAGAAGCCAUUUUCAAGUCUCUGACGCCACAAAACGAUUAAUUGGAUCACAUCUCCCAGAAGCACCUGAUCAAACCAAUGAUAAUCAGUAUCAGUACCAUUCAUAUUCAUGGCAUAAGCAAGAAAAUCAGCGCAAAAGAGUAACUAGCAAGCACACACUAAUGAAAAUGAAUGCAUUUCCUUCUUGAUUGUACUUACAUUGUUCAUCAAAAUCAAAUAUGACUUGCAUAUCAUGCAGACAAACAGAUACAUGCAAUGUAUACACUCCCUGUGAUGGCUUUUUUUUCAAUUGAGUUUUUUGAUGCAGUUUUGUGACUGGAAACAAGCAUCAUGAAAGUACCGAGUACUAAAUCAUUAGAACAUGUCUAACUUAGUAUAUUUCUUGCUAUAAUCCGUCAGUACUAGCUUAUGAGGCUAGCAUGAAGCGUACAUCAGUUAGAUUAGUGCUUGGGAAGUGUUCCCGACUGUGGCUUGGGAAGUAUUAACUCCCAUGUAGAGAUACGAGUCACCAGCGGGCGAUAGUCAUUGCAAAAGAUUCAAGAAGAGAGGCUCAGCAGCAGAAGUUAAGCUUUCCAUUACUGUGUUAACAGGGUCACAAAACCUGAAGUAUUAGCAUAUUCACAUUAGUAGAAACUGGCGGAGUUAUCCCCUACAGUCCUUCAGAUUCAGCUGUAUUAUCCUCCUCAGCUCGACCGCCCAACUUCACUAUAUCUUCGACAAGAAUCUUUCCAUCUGUUAUCCACAAAAAUCAUGAAAACCACAUAUCAAAAAGGACCAAGCAGAAUUCCUUCAGUAAGAACUGAGAAAGUUGAGUCUGAAAGCACAUAGAAUCUACCGAAUUUGAAGAUCCAAAAACUACCAAAUUGAAAUCAGUAAAGGUCACUUGUUCAACAAUCUGUCUUGGCAUAAAAAGAUUCCAGUUUUGCAUCACAAGAUUGUUC